UGGAACUGAAGAUUGUCAUCUGUAAAAGUACCAGUCAUCUGAGACUGUUCCAUGAAAAUCUUUUUCGUGCAUUUUCGAGAUUCUUCUGGCUUGUAGCACGAAAAGUUAACAAGGUACACCGGGCGAGGGCGGGUGACAAAGUACACGGUGGAUAGGAAAACAAGGAGAGUCGAGCAGAUAAUCACUGAAAUCAGGUUAUACUGGAGAUGCUCCCAAAGAUCAUAAAGAUCCUUGAGAGAAAAUGUUGAAAUCUGGGCAGCGAUAACGACAACAAGAGGGGAAAGAAAGAGGUACAUGCCAUGGGUGAUGAGAAUAUGGUACCCAAGCUUCACAUAUUUCAGUUUAACUGAAUUUUUGAAGUCGGGGAGGUUUCUUGACGACGAUGGUGAUGACGACGAUGGUGGGAUCAAGGGUGUGUCGGGUUUCGGGUCUGCCAUUUUUCCCUGAUAGAUAAUAUACAACAAAAUGGAUCAGAUCAAAUGACCUCAAGAUCAUAAUACCAGUCAAUUCUAAAAGCACAAGAACAAAGGUAUCACAAUAUACUUUAACACGCCUCAAUUCCAAAAAAAUUUCAAUAGAAAAUGGGCCAGAAAUCCUUAAAAAUACACCAUUUCUCUAACGUUUAUAAGCCACUACAAAGAAACGUUUGAUUUACACCUAUAAAUCACCUUGUCUCCUAAAAAAAAAAGUGAAAGCAAAAACUUAAGGCUCCUACAUCCAAGGUCUAAAAUAAAAGCUUCAGACUUUGAUUCGGGAAAGUUCCAAACCUUUUGUUUUUCUUAUCGUUUGCAGUUUAAAUUUACCGCCAACAAAGUAAUCCCAAAUCAGAAUUUACUACAGAAUUUUUUUUUUUUUUCCGAAAAAAAAUUACUAGAACUCGAAGAUUAACGACAAUCACACAAACCCCAUAUGCAGAUUUACAUCAAGCAUUGAACUUUUUCAAAGAUUAACGAUAACCACACAAAACCCAGAUGCAGAUUUACAUCAAGCAUUAAGCUUUUCAAGGAUUCGAAUCAAAUUGCACAGCAAAAAGCAAAAACCAUUCACAGUGAGGCAAAACCCAGAUGAAAAAACUCACCUCUGAUCGUCGGAUCCCACCACCAGAUCUCAGAAUGCCACCACAGAAGCCAAACAGAAAUGGAGAGAGAGAGAGAGAGAAAUUUGACAGAGUCAGAGAGAGAGGAGAACGUGCGAGGUCCAAACGGUAAGAAACAAGAAACUAAUUUGAAAAAUGUUAAAUGGGGAUUAGACUAUAAUUAGGGAGUGGGAGUGGAGAGACAGGUGAGGUGAGUUGUGUAUUACUAACUAAUUUAAGGUUUAAAUAAAGAGGUGGUGCGGAGGAGGAGAAGCCAUGAAGGCGGCAACUUUCAACAUCAUCAGCUUCUUAUCAAGUUUUUCUUUUUAAUUUCUCUCCGUUGGAUUGGUUUGGAUUUUUUUGAUUGAUUUUCUCAACCCAAAGAAAUUUCCGUAAUUUGUCGUGUUGUGUGUUGGAAGAGUCCUUCUUGGAUUUUGAUUUCUAAUUUUUCUAAUUUGUGUUUUGUUUGCUUUGAAUUACUAAUGUAAAAUGUAACCGAAUGUAUUCUUAUCAUUUGAAGUGUUAUAUGAUGUUACUGUUUACUUAUAUUAUAAUUCGUGUGUUUAUAAAUUAUGUGUAACGGUAUAAUAAUCACUUUGAAAUCAGAAUUGUUAUGAACAAUUUAGUAGUAAAAAGAUGUAAGCAUGCAUAAACACUUGAAACUCAUGAACCAUGUUUCACAUUUUGUGAAUAGGUUUAUUCCUACCUAAAUGACAGAUAAAAAAGAUGAAACCAAAAAGGAUACAGAGCUAGGUCAUAUAAUAAGUCAAACAUAAUAUUAUAUAUCGUCGUCAUCUAUGUAAGUUAAAUUUAAAAUUUUUUACUUACAAGUGAAAAAAGAAAUUAUUGAAUCGUAGUAUUAGUUGGUAUCAUAACUGUAUGUUUUUUGGGAAAUCACAUUGCACCGGCAGUUGUGAGGCGUCUAAUACAAAGCGCUUUGCAGGAUAUUUAAUUUCAGUCGACUAUGUCAAGUUGUUUACUUCGCUUUGUUCAUUCUUUUCAUCUUAAUUAGUAUAAAGGCGAUGAGUCGGUCACAUGGAUAAACCUCCCUGUCUCCUGUCUUUGUCUCUCUGUCUCCCUCUCCAUCUGUCUCAUGCCGCAUGGCAUUACUGGAAGAUUAAGUUGUCAUGGGACUCACUCACGUGCGAAGUUGUUCUUUUAUUUUCAUUCGUGGACAAUAAUGUAUAUGGCACGAGUAUACUUUCAUAAUUUCAUAAAUGCUUUGUGCUAAAUGAUUGCUGGCACUUAUCAAGUAAGUUGUUUUCCCAUCCAUGAGCUACCUAGGAGGGCAUUGAUGAUUUAUAGUGUAAGUGUAAAUGCAAUCAGAAAGUUCUAAAUUUGUUGGUUCAUAAAUGCUUUUGAAACUACUUUGAUUUUAUGAUUAUAACAGAUGAAGCAUCCUUUGUCAGCAGUUGAAAUGGAAAUGUGACCGACUUAGCUUGGGUUGGCAUUUUAGAAACUUGCAGUUGCACAUGGCCUUAGGCAUUAAGCACAGGUAUGUCUGCUUGUGCCUUUUCCAAUUGUCAAAAGUCCAAAGGUCACAUAUUUGCCUCAUAGGGCUCAUUGUUCGAGACUAACAUUAUUGUGGCAGUAUCUUAAACCAAUCACGCAUUGUUAUGUAUUUUAACUUUUUCAUGUGACAAUGUAUGAUUGACUUGAUAAUAUGACAUCUUUGUUGCGUGAAAGUCCUUUUCUUAUGAUUCGGGCACCACAAAUCAUUUUGAGAUUUGCCAGAAGAUUUGAAAGUUGAAGCUGUAAAUUGUAAACAUAAUAAUUCAUAAUUCAAAGGAAAAGUUAGGACUAUGUGAAUAUAUUCAUUCAAUAGAAGCCAUCAAUGGGAAGAUGUUACAGAAUGAGAAUCCGCUAAGAAUUCUAUGCUUAGGAUAUGAUUACUUGUAUUCUUAUAAAUCAAGUAACUUGCUUGUAUCUCAAGUCACUGACUUGUGUAAAUAUGUACAUUAAGAUAUAAAUAUAAUCUCAUAAUUCUACACGGUAUCAGAUCAUAGUUCUAUAAAUCAAACUCUUUUAGUACCUUGUUAGCCGAAAAUAAACUAUUACUGUGCGUGUAGGGAAAAAUGAUCGACAGGGAGAGUUGUCGAAGAACGCGUUCAAUGUGCUAGUCCAAUGUGAACUCUUCCAGCCCUAUAAGCACUUCAUUCCUCUUCGAUGCAGAUCAACCCCAUUACAAUUUCAAAGGUCGAAAGUCAAUUCAAAAUGCAAAAUAGAAGCAUAAGAACAAUCAAGUUUCAAAAGUAUAAGAACAGCCUUAAUUUAUAACCAAAUGGAGCAAAGAGGAAGAAGAUAACUAGUGAUUUGUAAAAACUAUUGAGCUUUGAGGUUACUACAACAUACCAAUAUAAAGCUCCAAGUCCGGCCUGGAUCGUUGUAACGAGCAAGCGAACAACCCUCCUUUGGUUUGAGACCAUCUCUGAUCAGACUAAUUUGAUGGAUGCUUUGGAAAGUUCGGCAUCAGAUGCCUCAGUGAAGACUGGAGUAGUCAUCGGUAUCUUCUCCAUUUUCGAGUUCUUUCCAAAGAUUGCCUAAACAGAUUCCAUCAUCCAAAUCAUCCUAAGUGAAGAAGCACAAGAAAAGAAAAACAUGAUUAGCCAGGGAUAACGCCUCGCCCAGUAACAUCACCGAAAUCAGCUGACCCGGGCAGCUUGUCUACUGAUCCCUCUACCACUACUUAAGGUGCAUACUUUCUUACCUGUGGAAUCAAGACAUUCAUGGUAAUUCAGUUUUAGGCACCAAUCGUGGCUUUAAGUUUUUACAAAUACAACAUGACUCGUUCGAUAAAAAGCAAACACACCUCAUAGUUUGCAGUUCUUUUUAGAAUAUCAUAUUUGGGUGUUUCCAAGUCUGGAGUUUUGUAAAUCCUCAGCUGCAGAGGUUUUACAUACAAAAAGGGUAAGAAUCUGUACGAAUGUUCAAGGGUUAAGGUUUUGGCAAGUGAAUACUGAGACUGCACAUCAAAGGAUGGUGAAUUACUAAAGUUGUUAUAGAUAGUACCAAUUCGUCUCUGGACAAGACUUUUGUUCUUUAUUGCAUUAUCGACAUUACCAAAUCAAUACAAAUAAUGACAUUAGACAGGGGAGUUCCUACGACAUGGCUGCAGAACUUCCCGGUCUCGGGGUUGAUGCCCAUGACAGAGGUUCCUGUAAAGAUCAGUUCUGGUUUCCAGGGUAGAGGGAUGAACUUCAUAACCAUGGUCCACCAUGUAGUGAAUUCAUAUGGUCUGUCUAUAGCAACUUUGUCAGUAAAACCAGGCACAGUCCACAUAAAAUUGUGGCAUUAUUCAAGUGUGAUUAACACGAAUGCUUAAUUGCAAAAUUCAACUGUACCAAUUCAAUGAGGUAUUGUUUCUCUAAUUCAAAUAGUUAUUUGGCCUGCCCCAACAAAGCCAACAAAAAAAAAAUGCUAGUUACACCAUUUCAUUAGUUUUUUGAUAAAGCGAUAUUCUAAUAUACACUAAUUACAUGGAAGAGAAUUCGAACUUAGGUAUAAACAAGCAAAUAUAUUGUUGUGACCAACUAAGCAUUCAAAAACAGUUACCUGUUUGGCCCAGUACAACUGAACUUAGGCAUGAAGACAAUCUUCAAGAAGGCUAUGUUCAACAAGUACCCAGUUAUAGUGUCAUGCUUGGUGAUUGGGUCCCUGAACUUCACACCCUCAUCAUACGCCGUCCGAUCAAUUCCCUGAUCAUCAAAAAGAUGAACCAGAUCCUCGUACAAAAACCCUACUAACCGUUCCACGUCAAACGUCAAUUUUGGCGGGCUUUGGUCCACUAAGCUGCCUAAUAGCCCAUUUGGAGUUUUGGGCUAAGUGUUUGAGUUUCAAAGAUUUAGGGCGUGGGCAGGGCAGUAGUUUGGACUUAGUGGUUAUCAGCCGCCGGAAAUUGACACACGCGGCGGGGAUUAAUGGCCGGAAGAUUUGGUCUGAAAGUUGUGUGCUGAUCAUUUUGUGGCUGAGCUGCUAAGGUUCUGGUGGUUGUGUUAGUUCUGGUCGAAUGCAGGACUUUGGUUUUGGCAUUUGAAAUCUUAGCCAAAAAUUGAUUGGUUGGUAUUGAGUUUUGAAACGUGUCAUCCACCUUACCAUUCAGAAUCCCGGAUGGAUGUGUUGGCCGUCAGAUCUUUAGUUAUAGGACCCAUCUAAAAUGAAUGGCCUCCAAUGGCUUUAUGUGGCAACAUAUGGACAGUAGAAUUCCUUAGGGGGCGUUUGUUUGCCCUCAUUAAGUGGGACUGGACUGGACUGGACUAGCUGUUAGUCCAAUACUGUGUUUGUUCCAUGCUGAGACUAACAUUAAUGAGACUAAAAGGGACUAGCAUGAACAAAACCCUUCACUAAGAGGUCUUAGCGAGACCCCCCAAUAACCAUGGGACUAGCUAAGACUAUCCUCUCUCGUCCUCAUCAUGCUCAACAACCACUCCCGAUAGACUCCUCGUCAUCUCCGGUCACCGAGAUCAUAAUAAAAUAUUAAUAAUUUAUAUAUUAAAUAAUAUAAUAUUAGAAUUUGUUAUUAUCCAGCUUCUUAGUCCAACACUGCACCAAACGCUUCACUAAGUUAGUCCAGCUUAGUCUAGUCUAAGCCAGUCCAGCUUAAUCCUUGAAGCUAGUCCAGUUCGAGAUAGUCCGGCGCAACAAACGCCCCCUUAGUGUAUAAACUAUGUUAAUGGGGUUUCCUUAUUUGGAGAUGACGUUGUAUGGUAGUAAUAUACUAAGUUAAUCAUGCACUGUUAUGUCAAAAAUUAAUACCAACGUAGAUAAGUUGUAUGUCGGGGUGGCCACAAGGGUACAAGGUUUUGUUCAUAAUCUAUGGUUAUACUCCAUAUAUUCUAAGGCAUUUGAGCAAAAGAGGGAGGGUCAAGGCUGUUGAGAAGAAUCUCAUAUUAAUGGGAGUAGAGAGCUUGCAUGAACUUAUAAGUAAAUUGAGAUACUUCUUAUAUUACCAAUUUUUACGGUAGAAACCUCAAUUUUCGUCAUUGUAUUAGUGCUAGGUUGUCACAACUUUGAAGCCUAAUGCCCGCAUGGGCUCCACGUCACCCCGUUUGUGUUGUUCACAUGUUAGGCUUAAAAAUUCCUCAUACGUGAGAGGGCGUGUUGAGAGUAAAUUCCACAUUGAUGAGAAGAUGGACCUUGUAUGAACUUAUAAGUAAAUUGCGCUACUCCCCAUAUUGUCAAUUGAUUUUAUAGUCGAACCUCAACUUUUUUCAAAAACAUCAUUUGAUCUAUGACCAGCUACAUCACUAAAUGUUAAAAUACAUAACAGUGCAUGUAUGAUUUGAAAUACAGUUACAGUGUUAUUCUAGAUGCUGCAUAUGUGGUAUAAGUGCAUGCAUACGAAAAUGUUCCUAGAUUAAGCUGGACCACGUUAAUGGUAUAUAUAGUGGGGCAUAUUUCACAUGCAUGCAGUGGAAGAAAAACACACUUUGAAGCACAACUCCACACUCUCACCACGCGACGAAUUGUGGAGAAACAAGCCCAGCAAACUUCUUCACUCUAUAUAUAUGGCAACAUACAAAGCUCACUUAUUCAUAUCGAAUCCAAACUUCAAAAACCAAACUCAAAAUUUGCUCUUGUUCUUUCUUUGAUUUCAAAUACAGUCCAAACUAGAGCAAAAAAAGAUAUGUUUUCCCUUUCAAAAUUGAUGAUAAGUGCCUCGUGGUGCAAGAAGCAUGGAAAUGACGACAACGAUGGUGACGACGGAUACGAUUAUGCCCUGGCAACAUGCAUGGAAGGUGUCGGCAAUGACGAUGAAUUGGAUUAUGGCUAUGCUACAGCAGUAUGCAUGGAAGGUGACGACGACGACGACGAUGAUGGUGGCUAUGAUUAUGCACCUGCUGCAUAAGAAAUAACUAGUACUAGUCUUCUUUUUCAUGUUUUAAUGCAGGUUAAUUAGCUUUGAUGAAUUGAUGAAUUAUAAUGUGCUAGUAGGAUUGCUUGAUCCCUUCGAAAUUUUUUGUUAAGGGUCGAACUAUUUACGAUGUACGUUCAAUUUAAGCCAAUCAGUUGUUGUCUCUGAUGACAUUAAUAUAUGGUUAAAUGGUGCAAUAUUGUAUAUGGUUAGCUUGUUAUUAUUAGGAUAUACAGUACCACAAUAUAUAUGGAGAGGAAGAUAAUGGAAUUCUUAGAUACUAAUUAGUGGUCAUGGGAGUGCAAAGAUUUGUCAGUUUGUCAAAAAUACGGUUUGGUACAUAAAAUUUUACAAUGCAAUUGGUUUGAAAUUUGGAAAAAAAAAAAAUCAACCAAUUGUAUUAUAACACUUGGUGUAUCAAACUGUGUUUUUGACACACUAAAAAAUUUCACAUAAAAAUGGGCACAUUAAGAGUUUUAUAAGCACGUUGUACUAAUUAAUAAGUUCUUCUGGAAGGAUUAAACCCCUUUAAAAAGAAAAAUUAUGAAGAAGAAAUAAAGUAGCCACUUACUAGCAAAAGGCAAGGAGAAAGCAAAAGGUGGAAUAUUGGAUUGGGACGUGAGUGGAGUAUAUGAUGACCAGAGAAAUAAUUUAACCAUUAAUUAAAGUUGACAAAGUUUUAGUGUUUAUUGAAUAAAAUGGUUUGUUUAUUACUACACGGUUUAAGAUUUGGUUGACUUUUAAUAUACUUUAUGUUUAAAGAGUGACCUUAAAAAUAAAAAAAGUUUAAUUAAAUCAUGUUAAUUUACAACAUUGUGGAAUGAGAAACAAAAUAAAAAAAUAGAGGAAAUUUAAAUGCGAAAGUUGCUAGCAUGCGUUCGUAAGAUCAUCUUUAAUUUUGAGUUAAAACCUCAAACUUUUAGCUAAUAAAAUUUAGGUUUUAACUCAGAAAUAACUUUUCUACUCAACCCGUCAUCAUGGUUAAAUUUUCACCAUCAGAUGAUUAAAAAAUGAAUUUAGGCUAUUUUUUUUAAAAUAACUUUUUGAAAAAAAAUUACGUGAAUUAUCAUAAAUUAAUUUUAUGAAUAUUUUAACUUAAAAAUAUUUAAAUCCUGAUAAACAUUGAAAAAACACUAAACUGACAUAUGAAACAUUAUGGAAGAAUAUGAAACACAUGAUAGAGAUGUAUAAAAACAAAACACAUGGUUUUGGAAGAUAGUAGAAAGAAAAAUCGAAAGAAUCGUAGGUGAAAAGUAAAUUUUGUGAGGAUAUUUGAACAAAUACAUAAGUAUUUAUCGAGUUUUUUGGUAAAUUUUGAAUUAAAUAAUAUUUUUAAAUUAUUUUAACCGUUGGAUUUAAAUUUUAUCUAUUAUAUCUUUCUUUUCAUUGUUAGAUUUAAUCAUAUUCGAUCAUAACAGCUAAAUUCACAAUAUUUACAAAUAUAAAUUAAAAACAUUACUUAAAUUAAAUGCGAAUUGUUGAAUAACCAACCACCCAUUUGAAUUCCCUCCAUUGAUAAACCAAAAGAGCCAUUUGGCUCACUUUCCCAUUGCCGACAUGUUCUAGACACACCCACGUAGAUGGGGCUGCACUUUGCAGCAAUCCUAAAUGUUGCAGCGCGUUAAUGUUGAGCGCGAGUGAUUUUGGGCAAUUGUCGCCCACCUCCCUGUCCUCCACUCGCACAAGUGGGCUCUCGCAUAUAUGAAUCUUUUGCGAAACUUCAAUCUAGCCGUCCACCGUCAUAUGACGCGUCGGUAGGGUUUAGGAAUUUCAGUAUCAUCGGUUCGGCCGCACAAACACAACCGCUGCCACUUUUUCAGUCGUGAUCUGAACCACUACAGUGCCAUAACAAUGGAUACCGCCAUGACAGCCCACGAAGCCUCCUCUUCAUCCUCCUCCAAGUCAAAACUUUGGAAUUACGACUUGUUCUUGAGCUUCAGAGGUGAAGACACGCGCAACGGCUUCACAGGCCACCUCCACGCGGCAUUAAAAGACAGGGGAUACCAGGCUUAUAUGGAUGAGGACGAUCUAAAAAGAGGGGAAGAAAUAAAAGAGGAACUGUUCCGGGCAAUCGAAGGGUCGAGGAUCUCCAUCAUUGUCUUCUCAAAGAGGUAUGCGGAUUCCAGUUGGUGUCUUGACGAGCUGGUGAAGAUCAUGGAGUGCAGAUCCAAACUGGGGCGACAUGUUUUGCCAAUAUUCUAUCAUGUUGAUCCUUCACAUGUCAGGAAGCAGGAUGGAGAUUUAGCCGAAGCAUUUCUGAAGCACGAAGAGGGCAUCGGUGAAGGAACAGAUGGCAAGAAACGUGAAGAUAAACAAGAAAGGGUAAAGCAGUGGAGAAAGGCUCUUACAGAAGCUGCAAACUUGUCUGGCCACCAUCUUCAUAUCACUGAUAAUGGGUAAUCAUUCAGCUGCUUUUCAAGAUUUGAAACAUUUUAGUGAAUGACUUAAAUCUCUCAUAUAAUUAACAUGCUUAAUUAACAUUUCACAUGAGCUAAACUUUAAUUAGCAUGCUUAAUUAAUACACCUUAAUUGGAAUUUAAUUAAUGAAUGCUUUCGUUCUUUUAUUCAAGUUAAGAAAAUUGUGUAUAUGAAGGAAAGAAGGAAAGAAAAUUGUUUAUGUAUUACUGAGCCUUCAUUGAUUCCCAAUAAUGUUUACGAAUUCAAUUUUCAGGCGCGAAGCAAAUCUUAUUAGAGAAAUUGUUGACAAUAUUAUUACGAAAUGGCUUAUGAGCACAAACAAACUAAGAGUGGCCAAGCACCCGGUUGGUAUCAAUUCUCGUAUUCAAGAUAUUAUCAGUCAUCUUUCAAGUGGCGGAUCAAAUGUUGUCAUGGUUGGAAUUUGGGGGAUGGGUGGAUUGGGUAAAACAACAGCUGCCAAAGCCAUUUAUGAUCAAAUUCAUCAUAAGUUCCAAUUCAAAAGUUUUCUGCCUGAUGUUAGCAACACUGCAAGUAAACAUGGUCUAGUUUAUUUGCAAAAGAAACUUAUUUCUGACAUCUUAAAAACGAAGUUUGAAAUAAGCAGUGUUGAUGAAGGUAUUGGUCUGAUAGAAGAUCAAUUUCGACAUAGAAGGGUACUUGUCAUCAUGGACAACAUAGAUGAAGUGGGCCAAUUGGAUGCAAUAGUUGGAAAUCAUGAUUGGUUUGGUCCAGGAAGUAGAAUUAUCAUAACAACAAGAGAUGAACAUUUACUAAAGCAAGUGGAUAAGACAUAUAUGGCUAAGAAAUUGAAUGAACUAGAAGCUUUGGAGCUCUUUAGUUGGCAUGCCUUUGGAAAUAAUUGGCCUAAUGAAGAAUAUCUUGAACUCUCAGAAAAAGUUGUUUCUUACUGUGGAGGUUUGCCACUAGCCCUUGAAGUUUUAGGUUCUUUUUUGUUUAAAAGACCCAUAGCAGAGUGGAAAAGUCAAUUGGAGAAAUUGAAAAGAACUCCUGAAGGAAAAAUAAUAAAAUCCCUAAGAAUAAGCUUUGAAGGGCUAGAUGAUGCACAGAAGGCUAUAUUUCUUGACAUAUCUUGUUUCUUUAUUGGAGCGGACAAGGACAUUGUCACAAAAGUAUUAGAUGGAUGUGGAUUUUCUGCAACAAUAGGAAUCAGUGUCCUUUGUGAACGAUGCCUUAUAACUGUUGAGCAUAACAAGUUGAAUAUGCAUGACUUGCUUCGAGAAAUGGCAAGAGUAAUCAUUUCUGAAAAAUCCCCUUGUCACCCUGGAAAAUGGAGUAGGUUGUGGGAUGAUCGAGAGGUCAUCAAUGUAUUGACAAAUAAAUCUGUAAGUCCAUUCCCAGUAAAAUUUUGGAUUAAUCAAUCGUACAAGAAAAGCAUAUAUGUAAUGUCUAUUAUACCUUAAACAAAAUUCAUGUGUAAUUGGGGUUGCACAAGGAAAGCUCAAAUAGCCAACAAUAGUACUUGCAUAUAUUCGCCGUAGGUGAUUUUGUGUAAUGAAUAAGAAUACAUGUAAACAUAUGCAAAUGAUCGGUUUCUUACACAUGAAUAUGACCUUUUGUUAACAGGGAACUGAAGAAGUUGAAGGACUUGCUCUACGUUGGCCUUAUGACACUGAUAUCAGUACAGAAGCAUUUGCCAAUAUGAAAAAACUGAGAUUGCUUCAACUCAACGAAGUAGAGCUCAUAGGAGAAUACAAACAUCUUCCCAAAGAGUUAAUAUGGUUGCGUUGGGAAGAAUGCCCUUUAAAGUCCAUACCAGAUGACUUUUUUAGUCAAGAUAAACUAGUUGUUUUAGAGAUGUGGGACAGCGAACUGGUACAAGUUUGGGAGGGUUCCAAGGUACAAUGAAUUACACCUGAUGAUGUUCUGUUUCUAUUUGUUUUUUGGAUUUCUUCUCUUUUUUUUUAUAACAUCUUCAUUUCGGAUAUUAAUUUCAAUUUUCUUUUGAUUUUCUGCAACAGUCGCUACAUAACUUGAAAACCCUUGAUCUCAGCGGUUCCUGUGACUUACAGAAAUCACCGGACUUUUUACGAGUCCCAAAUCUUGAAGAGUUGAUACUGCAAUGGUGUGAUAGUUUGUUCGAGAUUCACCCUUCCAUUGGUCAUCUUAAAAGACUUUCCUUGGUGAACCUUAGCCAUUGUCAUAAGCUUAUUUCUCUUCCAAGGGAUUUCUAUAAAUUGAAAUCUGUUGAGACACUUCUUCUUAAUAGAUGUUAUAAAUUCAGAGAACUGCAUGAGGAUAUAGGGGAGAUGAUAUCACUGAGAACACUUGAAGCAAAGUAUACAGCCAUAAGAGAAGUACCACCUUCCAUUGGUCAUCUUAAAAGACUUUCUUUGGUGAACCUUAAAGGAUGCAGAAUGCUUAGUUCUCUUCCAAGGGAUUUCUAUAAACUGAAAUCUGUUGAGACUCUUCUUCUUAACGACUGUUCAAAAUUCAUAGAACUGCAUGAGGAUAUAGGGGAGAUGAUAUCACUGAGAACACUUGAAGCAGAGGAUACAACCAUAAGAGAAGUACCACCUUCCAUUGGUCAUCUUAAAAGACUUUCUUUGGUGAACCUCACAGGCUGCGACAAUCUUAUUUCUCUUCCAAGGGAUUUCUAUAAAUUGAAAUCUGUUGAGACUCUUCUUCUUAAUGACUGUUCAAAAUUCAUAGAACUGCAUGAGGAUAUAGGGGAGAUGAUAUCACUGAGAACACUUGAAGCAGAGCAAACAGCCAUAAGAGAAGUACCACAUUUCGUAUUAGGAUUGAAGAAUCUCACUCGUUUAUCCCUAUCAGGUGUGGAAAGUAUUCAUUUGCCACAUUCGUUACACGGCUUCAACUCUUUAAGGGAAUUAGAUCUCUGUGUUGCGAAGUAUCACUUCAGUGUAGAGCUCAAAGGAGAAGACAAAUAUAUGUGUUGGGAAGGAUGCCCUUUAAAGUCCAUACCAGAUGAUUUUUUUAAUCAACCAAGACUAGUUGGCUUAGAGAUGCAGUGUAGCAAACUGGUACAAAUUUGGGAGGGUUCCAAGGUACAACGAAUUACACAUGAUGAUGUUCCCUUUCUAUUUGUUUUUUUGGAUUUCUUCUCUUUUUUUUUCUUUUUUUUUAUUAUAUUUUAUAACAUCUUCAUUUCGGAUAUUAAUUUCAAUUUUCUUUUGAUUUUCACAGUCGCUACAUAACUUGAAAACCCUUGAUCUCAGCCAUUCCUAUUCCUUACAGAAAUCACCGGACUUUACACAAGUCCCAAAUCUUGAAAAGUUGAUAUUGGAAGACUGCAUUAGUCUGUUCGAGAUUCACCCCUCCAUUGGUCAUCUUAAAAGACUUUCUUUGGUGAACCUUAGCUUAUGUUCCAAGCUUAUUUCUCUUCCAAGGGAUUUCUAUAAGUCGAAAUCUGUUGAGACUCUUCUUCUUAAUGGAUGUGAAGAAUUCAUAGAACUGCAUGAUGAUAUAGGGGAGAUGAUAUCACUGAGAACACUUGAAGCAGAGCAUACAGACAUAAGAGAAGUACCACCUUCCAUAGUAAGAUUGAAGAAUCUCACUCGUUUAUCCCUUGACCGCAUCAGCUACGUAGAGAUCAAAGGAGAAUACAAAUAUCUGUGUUGGAAAGGAUGCUCUUUAAAGUCCAUACCAGAUGACUUUUUUAAUCAAGAUAAACUAGUUGUUUUAGAGAUGCAUGUGAGCCAACUGGUACAAGUUUGGGAGGGUUCCAAGGUACAAUGAAUUACACCUGAUGAUGUUCUGUUCCUAUUUGUUUUUUGGAUUUCUUCUCUUUUUUUUAUAACAUCUUCAUUUCGGAUAUUGAUUUCAAUUUUCUUUUGAUUUUCUGCAACAGUCGCUACAUAACUUGAAAACCCUUGAUCUCAGCCAUUCCUAUUCCUUACAGAAAUCACCAGACUUUUCACAAGUCCCAAAUCUUGAAGAGUUGAUAUUGUUUAGCUGUUGGAGUUUGUCUGAGAUUCACCCCUCCAUUGGUCAUCUUAAAAGACUUUCUUUGGUGAACCUUCAACAAUGUUACGAGCUUAUUUCUCUUCCAGGGGAUUUCUACAAGUCAAAAUCUGUUGAGACUCUUCUUCUUAAUUAUUGUUAUGAAUUCAGAGAAGUGCAUGAGGAUAUAGGGGAGAUGAUAUCACUGAGAACGCUUGAAGCAUAUGAUACAGCCAUAAGAGAAGUACCACCUUCCAUAGUAAGAUUGAAGAAUCUCACUCGUUUAUCCCUAUCAGGUGUGGCAAAUUUGGAUCUUUCAUGGAAAUUUUUUCAUACCCUACCCAGUCUCAGUGGUCUUUCAAAGCUUGAAACUCUACGGUUACGUCACUGCGAGCAACUUCGUACAAUCACAAAUUUACCAACAAAUUUGAAAUUUUUGUUGGCGAAUGGAUGCCCUGCAUUGGAAACAAUGCCCAAUUUUUCAGAAAUGUCAAAUAUAAGAGAACUGAACUUAAGUGAUUCACCCAAAGUCAUUGAGGUUCCAGGCUUGGAUAAAUCAUUAAACUCCAUGACAUGGAUUAAUAUGAAAAAGUGCACCAAUCUCUCGACCCAUUUAAGGAAGAACAUCCUACAGGUAUCUCUCUCUCUCUCUCUCUCUCUCUCUCUCUCUCUCUCUCUCUCUCUCAUUGCCUUCCUAUCGUGUGUAUACAUGCAUAUAUAUGACACUUAUAUUGUAUAUGUAGGGAUGGACUUCUUGUGGAUUUGGUGGAAUUUUCCUUCAUAGAAACUAUGUUCCUAAUUGGUUUGAGUUUGUCGAUGAGGGCACUAAAGUCACCUUUGAUAUUCCCCCGAGUGAUGGUCGUAAUUUAGAAGAGUUAACUCUGUUCUGCUUGUACCACUCAAACAGAAGCAAUCAGCUUGCCAUUAUUGUUAUAAACAAUACCCAGCGUAUUGAGUUGCGAGCCUACAUAGGCAGACAAGAAUAUGAUGACGACCUAUAUGAAGAUGAUUAUCUUUUGCAGGGACAACUCUCGAACAGUAAGCUCAAUUUGCAAGGUGGGGAUGAAGUUGAUAUACUUUUUGAAAACCCAGCCAUUUCAAUAACGAGAACAGGGGUUAAUCUAGUAUGGGACAAACCUAUGAAGGAAAAUAUGCAUGAUUUGGACAAAGCUGGAUAUGUUUUUGACACACAUCCAACUCGGUUUUAUGAUGAGGGAGGACCAAGCCAUGAAGCAUCUGAUAAUAAUCGUCCCAGGAAACAAAUGAGAAUUACCAUAGAUGACUGAAAUGGGAAAAGGCAAGAAGAAAUGAAACAUCAUCUGUCUUGAUUAUGUCACACCCAGAUCGAUUCUAUGGUGAAGCACGAUCAAGGCGGUGAUGCAUCGUCAUCAUCACAUAUCUGAGUAAGGUCAUAACCAGUUCAUCAAACGCCUCUUUCAUUUUUCAUUUUACUGGUUCGAUAAUGAAGACAAGUCCUUAUUUCAUACUUCUUUAGAUUCCUACGAUUUUUUCAACAAGUAGUUGUUUUGAAUUUUGAAGAAAUAUUGCAUCUAAAAAACAUUUCAACAAUACAACAAUCAAUAUAAGACAUUCAUCCAAAUAUUUGACAAAUACUCAAGAUGCCAGUCAAUAUGUAGUUUCUACUACGUUUUCAUUAUCUUGACUUGCCCUGACAUGUUAGCAGAAAAUUGACUCUACAUUUUAGUAGAAGAUCUAUUACCUUUCUACUACCUUUGAAGUCGAUGAACGCGUUUGCACAAUCAAAAAAUAGUCCUGUUGAUUCUCCAAAACUGCAGACGGAAGUUGUUUGUAACAUCAUAGAGCUGUUCCUGUUAAGAUCAAACCCCAGCCCAUGUUGUGCCCUUCUGUAAACACCAUCAAAUUAAGAUGUCACAAAGUUAAAAAAUAAAUAAAAAUAAAACAAGAAAUCAUCAAAUAUAGCUUUGAUAUCUUUGUAGGAUUUCGAUUGAAAAAAGAAAAAAAGAAAAAAAAAAGAGAGAGAGAUCUUUGUUGGCGUAACAAUUUCUAUCUGACUUACAAAGGGAACAUCUAUAAUUACAACAUAACGAGACAAAACUCUUGUUCAGCAAAUCAGUGCAAAUGUAGCUAAACCACCAAAAUUCAAAGAUUGGAAGCUACGGUUUCACCAUCACCAUAUUCAUCUCAAGAACAAAAAUUACCAAACAGAGUAAAGUGUGAUGAGAACAAAAGAAAUGACAAAAUCAAGCAAUCCUCUUUCCCCCAAACGGUCUGCCUCUUGAAUGCAUGUCAUCCCGGUUUUGAUGUCUCAUUUUUUUUAAGAAGCUUUUGUGCGGCCGCUGGGUUUUGAACAGGGACAGCUUCAAUUUUUGUGGAAUCCAUAAUACAUCAUCAUUAAAUUACGAAUUAAAAAAUGUAGAACAUUUAUAAUAAAUAAGUUAACUAAAUGUGUUUCUUGGGUGAUUCAAGUAUAAUUCCAUUUUACAUGAUUGUUGACGUUGAUACAGACAAAACUUCUACAACUAUAUACGCACCAGUAGAAAUAAUUAGUGAACAAAUCGAAGUGUAAAAACACCGGUCGCUUCUCGACCCCUUCCCCACAACUAGAUGACAUAAAAUUAAGCUUAAUACUACACAAAACCCGGAUGCUGCAUAGGUUAAUAGUAAAAUUUAAUAACAAGCUACAAGUUGGACACAAAUUUAAAUCCACCUUCUUUUGUCUUGAGUUCUUUCAUCAAAGGAAUCUGCCUUACGAGUGUUACCUGUCUCACUUUUUUUAUAAAAUUUAUCCUCAUCAUUUGCUUUCAAUUGAAGAUUCCACCGUCUUCCAACUGGUCUACCCUCAAUAAUUCUGGCAAUAGGCUCAGUACUCUUGGAGCUAACAUCAGAGUAAUCUGCCAAUGAUUGCAUCUUGCCCAUGAGAUAUGCAUGCAAUAGCAAUAAUGAGUGGUUUAACAUUAUGUUAAAAGACAUAAACUAAUAUUAUGAAAUCAAUAGCUCAAGAAUACUGAUGUGAAAACUUGUCCUGCUCAGGAAACCGACUUUUAGCUGCCCCAACUUGCAACUUCUCAAAUGGAGAGGGGCCGUUACCAUCACUUUCCUGUGAAAUCCUUAAAGAUGAAUGUGAAAACUCGGAAUAUUUUGUAUUCAUCUGCCAUUCUUCGUUAAGUGAUUGAACAACACCUCCCAACACAGUCACAACUUUAGGACUCAAACAAACUAUUCCGUUACGUACAGUAACUUUACCUUCCAAACAGACCUGCCGAUCAAAAAGUAGGACAAACAAAAGAUGUUCAGUUAACUCAAAAUACGACCUUUAUCUAUGCACCUGUUUUCCCUGAAUCACUUAAGAAAGUGGGACUAGAGAGACCCAUAAAACUUCUUGUGAAAUUCAUUGAGUUUCAUGAAAAAAGUACUCAUAAUAAUUGUCAAAAUUAAAAACUUUGUCGGGGUCUUCCAGUGCAGUGUUGAGCUAAUGUCCCAUAUGGGAUACAAAAUAAACGAAAUUAUUAAUUUUCCUACUGGAUGUGGAUUCACUUCAAGAUUGCAUAAACGAAGACGGAGCACACAGUGUUCAUCACUAAGUUCUACGAAAGUGUGGUUUCCGUUGUUUUUCAUAAUCUAGCUCAAUUUUGUACCAGUUUGAAUACUAAACUGAACAUAUACAAAAUCCAAAAAGUGAACAAUCAAAGAUAUCUCUAGCUUAUUAAAUAUAAAACACAAGCUGAGCAUUGAGAAGGCAUCAAGAAGCAGAAAGUACCUUAGUUCCAGGAACGACGUCGUCAGGGAUUGCCGGGGUAUGAGAGUACUCCACAGCUGUGGCCGUCGUCAGGGAUCGUCAGGCAUCAAAAGCCGCCGACGACUCAAAUUCCUCGAAAAAUCCUCCAUACUGCUUUUAGCAACGUCCCUUACCCAAGCCAUUUGAUAACAAAACACAAAGGAAAGACCACAUUUUUCUUUCUCUUUAUCUAUUUUCUCAGCAACCAAAGAAAAAAUUAACGAGAAACACAGAGAGGUGUGAUUUACCUGGAGGAGGUGAGAGGACCUUAGGAGCGUAUGCGGGUCGGGCAUGGACCUGGCGGAGAUGGAUUUAAGGUUCAUGUUGGUGAGCUCGGCUUCCACUGAGUUCACUACCGUACGCGUGUCGUCGGACAAGGCUGGGUAGAUCAGGAUCUUCUCCUCCACUUGUUCGAGGUCGCCGAAGCACCACCCUCUGGUUCUUAGGGUUUCGAUUGCGGCGUCCCCUCCAUAUUUUUGGUGCCAGUUUGCCGCGUAGUUUGAUUUUGGGGGUUUUCUGAAUUUUGCAACAGAAACGUCAAAUGUACGGUACAGUCCCAGACUCCCAAAUAGGUCAUGAAACGGCGUCGUAGGUGGUUUUCCUUUUUUUUUUUUUUUCAAACGAAUGUCUUAGGGGGUAUUGGUUUCUCUUUUAUGAGAAUGAGGGCCAAUGGACCAAAAUUAACGUCUAUUGGUAGUUUUCUUUAUUUAUAAGUGUGAGGUUUUAUCACUUUGUACUACGAUUUAAUAGUAUUUAUCUUUAUUGGUAAGUGAGAUUUUAGGCUCAAUUUUAGCUAAAGGUGAAUUUGAACCACAUUAUUGCUAGCCCAUUGUGAGGCUAAACCCACCCCACCCCCUUCCCUUAGCGUAGAUAAUAUCAAUUUUUUAGAGAAAAAUGAAAGAUUUUAAGUUUAAAUCUCAUAAAUGGCAUGUUCAAUACAAAUUUAUACCCCCAUCUUUAAUGUAUAUGUAUCGUUGUAUAAAAACCAAUUAAAGUAGUUUAGUUUGACUGUUAUAAUGAAAAGGUGCAAUCAAUCUUAGAUUGAACUAAAUCAAAUUAUAAUUAGCUUGGUUUGGUUUGUUUCGGUUUGACGUGGUGGGAUAAUGCUAAAACAAAAACCAAUUUGAAUAAGUAUUUUUAGUUGUUGGAUUUGUUUGUACCAUACUUGACCAAUCCCGAAACUACCGAGCACCGGCCAACGCUAUACUGUCAAGGACCCAGAAGAGUUCCCCUCCGACCAGGAGGCCAAUCACUACUCGACACGUGUCAAGAUUAGAAGCCAAUCAGAGCGCAGCACGUGUCGACAUCAAGAACCAAUCAUAACAUGACACAUGUCAAUGUGACAAAGCUACAAGUUUUUCUAUAAAUAGGGGUCAUUCCCCCACAAUAUUGCCUAAUGCCAUUUUGUGUUAAAUCAUUCACAAGAACUCACUAAAUUGAGAGCUUGAUCCUUUGUACUUGUGUAAGCCCUUCACUACUAAUAAGAACUCCUCUACUCCGUGGACGUAGCCAAUCUGGGUGAACCACGUACAUCCUGUGUUUGCUUCUCUGUCUCUAUUCAUUUACGUACUUAUCCUCACUAGUGACCGAAGCAACCAAGCGAAGGUCACAAAACCUGACACUUUCUGUUGUACCAAAGUCUUCGCUGAUUUUGUGCAUCAACAUUUGGCGCCGUCUGUGGGAAACGACACUUAUUCCUACUCUCUUCAGCUGUGUCAAGCUGGUUUCUAUCAUUCGUACACUUUCUUUUGAUCAGGCAUCCCUCUCCAACAUGGGAAGCGAAGGAAGCCACAGCACACAGAAUGACACCCCCCUUGCACAUAGUGCGAAACAACGAAAGAAGGAAGGAAAACGAGUUCUUCUUCAAGCUAAAGUCGAUGAGUUGGAAGCUCAGAACAACAAGAUAGCAAUGAGGAAUGAGGUCCUCCAGGAGCAAUAUGAGAAGCUCUUCGAGACACUCCACGAAGCUAGGCAAGCUCAGACACGCGAGCUUGUUGCCCCCGUGGAAGUCAACCAUCAACUGGGUGCCCUCCAACAUGGAGGGUCACAUGCAUUCGACAUAGAUAUCCCUGAUAGGGAACAGAUUACCCCUCGACUUGAUAAUCAACAUGAGGCUUCUCUUAACCCAGUUGCUUCGACCCGAACCAUGAGAAGUGGAGGGAGACACCUCUUUGCUGAAGGGGCAGAAGGAUCGAAAGCCGUCUUUCGCGAUUGUCGGGAUUUCCUGAAGCAACGUCGAGAGAAUUCCAUCCAUAUAAGCUCAAAGAUUAAUGACCCAAGGAUUUCUGAGAGACUCGGUCCCCUGCCACGGCCCAAGCCGGCCACCAAUUUGGGGAAGGGGCAACAAGUCCUAGAGAGACAUGAGGGUACAGGGGACUCAGAGGUGUUCCGACAGACAUACCCUGGAAGCCAGUACAGCGAGUCCAGGGAAAAAUCACAUGCCCUUGAUCAAACCUUCCUAAUUCCAAGAGGAGAUGGAGAUUUACGAAAGAAAGCUCCAGUGACACAUAACUCCGCUCAGGACCCCCUUGUCCUACAACUUCUUGAGGAAGUAAACAAGUUGAAGGCUGAACGUCAGGCUGAAAUACCUGACUGGAACCAACCCAGGCCUGGCCCUCUUACAAGGAGGAUCCUCAACACCCCCCUUCAAGCAAAGACAAAGCAAAAGCUUGGCUUGCAACUUUAUACUGGAAAAGAGGACCCGAUUGAGCACCUUAACCUCUUUGAGUCCACCAUGGCAUACCGGAUGCACACCGACGAAGAGCGAUGUCUUCUCUUCCCCUCCACCCUCUCUGUGGAGCUCUAAAUUGGUAUUGUCGUCUUACACCUGAGACGGUAGACUCAUUUGAGGAAUUGAGGAAACUAUUUGUUUCCCAACACAUUUUCCAAACCGAUCGCUUGCACUCUGCAGAUGACUUGUACACUAUCCGCCAGAAGCCAGACGAGUCAUUACGUAUGUAUGCUGGCCGCUUCAGCCAUGAAUACUCCCGGUGUGCCGAGGCAGACGACAAGACUGCCCUCAAAGCCUUCACGGCAGGCCUACGUGAUUGUUUCUUUAAAUACAUGAUCAAUGCCAAUACUUGGAAGACUUACUCUGAGGUGAUGGCGCAGGCUUAUAACCAUGCCUCCGCCGAGGCAAAGACAUAUCAGGAGAAACCCCCUACAACCAUCCUUUAUCAACAAGUGGGAGGUGGAAGCCAGACUCACCUAAAUGAGAAGACCUCGACUUUCCAAACAGCAGUGGCACCUCCCCAUGCCUUGCAUAAUGCUUCACCGAAUCAACAGACAUAUCAAUUUCAAGGCAAGAGGAAGGAUUUCCAUCCUCACCACUCUCCUUUCAGUAAAAAGAGUAAGGGACACUAUCCCGAUAACCAAGGGUAUCGCCACAAUAACGCUCGCCCCCAGGCAGUCAAUGCAGUGGGUCAAACCCGCGUCAAGAUACCCCCUACCCCAAGGUAUGAGACAUACACGCCCUUGAAUGCCACAUGCGCGGCCAUUUACCCCAGCAUAGCUCACCUGAUACCAAAGCCAAAGCCGAGGCACCCAGAUUACACGCCCCCGAAUAACGCGGGCAUGUUUUGUUGCUACCAUGAGCAUAACGGCCAUGAUAGCGAGAAAUGUAUCAUCCUCCGUGAUCGUAUUGAAGCUUUGGCACGAGAAGGAAAAAUUGAUCAAUUCCUUCUUCACCCUCAAAGGGAUAACCGUAACCAACGCCAGGUGAAUGUCAUAUAUUCCAUAAGCGGCGGCACACCCAUAUCUGAAUCUUCCAAUAGGGCCAUGAAAAACAGUGAACGAAUUCUGAGGCCUGGUCACCAAGUGUUUCACGUGGAAGACAUCAGGGGAGGGAAGUAUCAAAAGCCUAACUGGGAUCCGAUAUGUUUCUACCCUGAGGAAGAAAGAGGCAUCAUCUACCCUCAUAACGACCCAUUGAUCGUGGAGGCUCACAUAGCCAACUUUGAUGUUCGACGAAUCCUCGUAGACACAGGGGCUUCGGUCAAUAUCAUGUUUGCCGAAGCUUUCAGGGCACUCAGUGUAGCUGAACACUUGCUCGAUCGCUCGAUUUCUCCUCUGAUAAGCUUCUCCGGUGAUAUCGUGCAACCCUUAGGGAGCAUACAUUUACCCUUUACUAUUGGUACAGGCCCUUACACGGCUACCAUUACCACUAACUUCCUAGUGGUUGACUGCCCAACGGCAUACAAUGUCAUCUUUGGGCGCACAGGCAUCAAUGAUCUCAAGGCUAUGGUAUCCACGCAUAUGCUGUUGAUGAAAUUUCCAACCCCCCAUGGCAACGGCUACAUCAGAGGAGAUCAGCUUAGUGCACGAUCAUGUUACAACACUUCAGUUAAGCAACAACACUUGCCCGGACCCAAGGAAACCCUGUCUGUACAUGACCAAGUCACAAAGACCAGCCUAGAUGAAGCGAACUUGGAUCUUCCUGAUAGCAACAAUCAACCCGAUGAUCCUCGAGAUGACUCUUUCACCCAGCAAGCCCAACCUGCUGAAGAGUUGGAGAAGGUACCUAUCUCAAGAGAUUAUCCAGACCGCAUGGUGAAGAUUGGCACCACAUUGUCACCACCCCUUCGGUUAGCAUUGAUAUCUUUUUUGAAAGAGAACACUGAAGUCUUCGCCUGGUCAUACGAGGACAUGCCAGGCAUCUCUCCCGAUGUCAUCUGUCAUCGUUUGAGUAUUGACCCCAAGAUCAAGCCGGUGAGACAGAAGCGAAGAUCUUAUGACGCUGAACGAUACGAGGCAAUGAAAGCAGAAGUUGAAAAACUCAAAGGCAUAGGCUUUGUCCGCGAAGUCAAUUACCCGACAUGGGUAGCAAAUGUGGUCCUUGUUAAGGAAAAAUCCGACCAAAGAAAGUCUUUUGCUUCAAAAGGUCUUGUGGAGAAUGUGUGUUGACUACACCGACCUAAACAAAGGGUGUCCGAAAGAUAGUUUCCCUCUUCCUCUUAUUGACAGACUUAUAGACUCUACGGCAGGGUGUGAGCUCUUGAGCUUUCAUGGACGCUUAUUCAGGAUACAACCAAAUCCUCAUGAACCCCUCAGACCAAGAACACACGGCCUUCACUACUGACAGGGGACUAUAUUGCUAUAAAAGUCAUGCCUUUCGGCCUAAAGAAUGCAGGAGCAACUUAUCAGAGACUGGUCAAUUCAAUGUUCGCCGAACAGAUUGGGAAGAGACAUGGAAGUUUACGUUGAUGAUAUGCUAGUCAAGAAGCAAACAUGCUGACCAACACAUCACCAACCUAUCUGAAACUUUCACCAUUCUAAAGAGGUAUCGAAUGAGGUUGAACCCCAACAAAUGUGCCUUCGGCGUGGGCUCUGGCAAAUUCUUAGGCUUCAUGAUUAGCCAACGAGGCAUUGAAGCUAACCCUGAAAAGAUCAAAGCAAUCCUCGACAUGAAAGAGAGCCAAUAACUUCAAAAGACAUCCAAAGCCUUACUGGCAAGGUGGCAGCCUUAACCAGAUUCAUCUCUAAGGCCACAGACAGAUGUGCUCCUUUCUUCAAAGCACUCAAGGGAAAUAAGAAGUACAUUACAUGGACGGAGGAAUGUGCCAAGGCAUUCAGGAACCUCAAAGAGUACAUGAGUAAAGCCCCUCUGCUCUCCAAACCAGAAGUUGGUGACACUCUCAUCAUCUAUCUAUCGGUUUCGGCUUCAGCAGUCAGUUCUGUUCUUAUUCGAAUGGACAGUGGUGUCGAACGGCCCCGUCUACUACGCUAGCAAGGCCCUACAAGAUGCGGAGACACGAUACUCCAACAUUGAGAAAUUAGCUCUAGCAUUGGUCAUGUCUGCUCGGAAACUUCGCCCUUAUUUCCAAGCACACGCCAUCAUCGUGCUUACCAAUCACCCUCUUCGACAGAUACUCCAGAGUCCUGACACGUCUGGACGAAUGAUCAAAUGGGCGAUAGCAUUGGGUGAGUUUGACAUCUCCUACCAACCAAAACCAGCCGAAAAAGGUCAAGCAGUAGCAGAUUUCAUCGCCGACUUCACAUAUCCUGUUGACAUUGCUUCUACACCUGAAGCAGUAGCUUCAUUACCAUCGGAAGCUCAGAAAGUAGAAUCAACGACCUCAGCAUGGAGUCUGUAUGUUGAUGGCUCAUCCAACCAACAGGGCUGUGGAGCGGGACUAGUCUUGACUACGCCCGACAAAGUAGCAAUGGAGUAUGCUCUUCGUUUCAAAUUCAAGGCAUCAAACAAUGAGGCCGAGUAUGAAGCCCUUCUAGCAGGAUUACGUUUGGCCAAACACCUCGGGGUUAAACAAAUUGAUAUUUUCAGUGACUCCCAAUUAGUGGUCAACCAGGUUACCAACAACUUUGAUGCUAAGGACAGCUCCAUGGCAGCAUAUCUUGCGCAAACACAACUUUUGCUCAAGCACUUCCACUACCAGAUCACCCAAGUUCCUCGAGCGGCAAACAGUCAUGCAGACGCCCUGGCUCGCCUCGCCUCAGCUGUGGAAGACAAGAUUGGAAGAAAAAAUUCAUGUCGAACUGUUGGCAACACCAAGCACCAUGGCCGCAGAAGUAUGCAACUUACAACAGGGGGAUAGUUGGAUCACCCCGAUCUAUAAUUUCCUUGCUCAUGGCACCCUCCCAAAUGAUAAAGUCCAGGCUAAGCAAAUUCGAUACAAGUCUACCCGCUACCUGAUCAUCAAUGAUCAACUCUAUAAGCGAGGUUUUAGCCUGCCAUACUUAAGGUGUCUUACGCCUGCCGAGGCGGAAAUCGUCCUUCGGGAAAUACAUGAGGGAGUCUGUGGAGAUCAUGCUGGAUCUCGGUCCCUAGCACACAAGACUUUUCGCCAAGGAUAUUACUGGCCAACACUCCACCAGGAUGCCAUCAAAGUAUCCCGCUCAUGUGACAAAUGUCAACGAUAUGCAACUAUUCCUCAUUCCCCUCCAGAGCCUCUUACUCCUAUGAUCAGCCCUUGGCCCUUCGCCCAGUGGGGACUUGAUUUGAUCGGCCCAAUGCCGGCAGGGAAGGGCAAAGUCUGUUACGCAGUCGUUGCAGUGGACUACUUCACAAAGUGGGCCGAAGUAGAACCCUUGGCAACCAUUACUGAGGCAAAGAUAGAAGACUUCGUGUGGAAGAACAUCCUUUGUAGAUUCGGCAUUCCCAAUGCGAUAGUCACUGACAAUGGGCGACAGUUUGACAACAAGAAGUUCAGGUUGUUCUGCUCUAAGUUCAACAUCAACUUAUGCUUUGCCUCUCCAGCUCAUCCCCAGUCUAAUGGACAAGUUGAGGCCAUCAACAAAAUAAUCAAGCGCACUUUGAAAACCAGCUUGGACAAAGCUAAAGGCUGUUGGCCAGAAUUUGUACCCCAAGUUCUUUGGUCAUAUCGCACUUCAUAUCGGACUUCAACAGGAGAAACUCCAUUCUCACUUGCCUUUGGCACAGAGGCGGUUGUCCCUGUUGAGCUCGAGCAAGCAACAUUCCGAGUCCAGAACUACAUUCAAAGUGAAAAUGACAAACAACUCACCCUCAACUUGGAUUUAGUCGAGGAACACAGAAACCAAGCUCACUUGAGGAAUGUCGCCUACAAGCAGCGCAUCUCCAACUAUUAUGACUCUAGGGUCAAGCCUCGUUCUUUCAAAAUAGGAGACUGGGUCUUAAAGAAAAGAUUACUCUGCGACAGAGUCCCGAGUGAAGGCACACUUAGUCCAAACUGGGAUGGACCGUAUGAAGUCAUUGGCAUCAGUCGCCCUGGCUCUUACACACUUAGAAGCUCCGAUGGCAAGACCCUUGGCCAUCCAUGGAACGCUGAUCACUUGAAGUACUACUACAAAUAGACUCACGAUGUACAAGUGUUGAGCUAUAGCCGUUCGGCAUCCUAUGUAAUGAAGGCCAUUUGGCAAUGAAUUCAAUAAAGAGGUAAUUUAGCCAACUCAGCCCUCACUCUUUUACAUUCCUAGCAAUGGAACACUCAAGUGUUGAAACCUCAAAGCAGAUAUAUCCAACACGAAACAAAAUCUAAGUAUGUGUCGACAAGACUAUACAAAGAAAGGAACAACCAAACAAUGGCUUAUAUCCAAACAAUAGAUCUAUUCAUACAUAGCCAAACAUGCAUUAAUAAUAGUGCAAACACUCAUAAACACCUAAAAUCCAAAACUCUCAAGCUUAUAACAUGGGCACAUGUUAUACACACAUCAGACUACUACAUCCAGAAUACAUGCAGAUAGUAAAGACACUGCUAUUCAUUCUCAUCUGAAGCCGAACCCCUGGCAGUAUCACUCCGCGUCCUACCAUCAUCCUCUGCAUCCCCAAGAUCCUCUUCACCAUGCUGAGUCUGUGCAUCAGCACUACCUUCAUUAUCAGACUCAUCUUCGCUGCUAGGAUCAACAGCAAGGACAAAUGUCUCGCCCUUUCGAUGAUGCUCAUCUAUAUCUUCGUGGUAUUUUCGAAGAAUGCUCCCAUCAUCAUAACGAUCAAGGACGGCCAUCCAUUUCCUUUUUUCAAAGCGAGCUUCUUGAGCACAGUAGGGUUUAAUAGCAAGAUGAAAGGUCGAAGAACUUAAGUAUUCUUGCACAGCAGCCUCCCUUUCAGUUGGAAUGCUCUUCUCCAGUUCAGAAAUCUCAACUAAGGCACCAUCCAAUUCUCCCCUAACCUUGGAUACCUCCAAGGUAGCCACCUCCAACUGUUUUUUAGUUGCCUCAAACAAUUUCUUAAGCCUUAGGUUCUCACCAUUUCGCCUUUUCAAGCUCUCCAUGGUUUCGUCCUUCAGUUGGAGAGCCUGAGUCAAAAGUCCCUUAUUCCUUCGGGCCUCGUCCACAAGCUGCUUAUUCUCCUUCAGUUUUGCCUUGUACCGCUCAACCUCUUGCAGUCUGUCGUGAUACUCGGCCAUGACCUGCAUGGCAAGACGAUCAUCACUACCUAAAUAAUGAUAAUAAAGAGGAAAAAGUAAGGAAAUGACAAAGUAACACUCACAUAUGAAGACAGCUUCAACAUCCGGUCGCAAUCCGAUUCAUCCUUAGCUAAGGGCUCUCCGAGCUCAUCGAAGGCGAAUCGACGCCCUGCCAAGCAAUUGUUGAUAUCCCCAAAAUCCUUUGGCCGCGUGGCAACCCUCAAGUCCUUCCACGGGACACUGCCAGCUCUUUCCUUGCCUUUCCCCUCAUGGCGGGAACCAGGAUCACUUUCCUGGACAGUGUGCUCCAUAGUAAGAGGAGGAGGCAACAGUCGGCUCCCUUCUCCUGCAACUACGGCAGCAGCAUUUUCAACGGCCUCGACUCCAGUCUUCCUAAAGGCAGGCCCCUUAAGGACCCCAUCUUGGGACUUAGGUCUAACGGAUGGUUCCCCUCGGAACUUAUGAAUUUUCUUAUGCGGUAGGAUGUCUUCCGAAGGAACUAACACUGGUGCUUUCCUUUUAUUGGGUGCUAGUCCCUGUUUUCUUGCUUACCUUCUCCACUGCAUAAGGAAAAUCAAAAUAAGAAAUACAACUUUCCAAAUAAAGUAAGGAAAAGAGCAAAAGUUUACAUGAAGGAUACAACUUACUCGAUCGUCCCUGGCUCUCGGAAACUAAGGGUUGGAAACCGUACCGACGAAAUAAGGGUCGUAGCUUGCUUAAGUGUCUAUCCUCUUUGGGCACCCUCAACACCUUCUCUAUGUCAGAUAGCUCCUGCCCAAACAGUUUGGAUGGUGCCCCGCGUCACUACAUGAAGCAAAGUGUUAGAAGCAAGAAAAGACCACAACAAAUAGCAAAUAGUACGAACGGUUGAUACGUUACAACCUACAGUCUGGAAGUGAGUAAGCACACGUCGCUCAGGCGUGACACCCUUAUCAUACUCCCAAUCAUUAUACAGAAAGCACCAACGGUUUUUCCAUGUGUAGUAUGCCUUUUUCUUACCAUACACAAUACGCUCUCUCUCACUCCGACAUGCACACUCGGCAUAACCAGUGCAUGAUUUUGCUGGGCGCAUCUUGUAACAGUAACGCCACUGAUGGAAGGAAGGCUCACACAACCCACACUCCAUCCAAAUGAUAUAAAAUCCAAUCAAAGUAUCCCAGAAACCAGGAUUGAGUUGCCCAGGUGCAUAUCCGAUCAAAGAUAACAUCUUUUGCAACCACGGAUGUAAAGGUAGUCUCACCCCUAAAGUCAGUAAUAUCUGGGUGUAGAACAUAACAUGACCCUGGGGAGGCUCAGAAGGCCAUUCUUCAUCAUGUACCAAACGUAUCCCUACACUACGAGGGAUAUUACAUGACUGCCUUAGCGCCUCAACCUGCUUCUCAUUAUCUAACAAGUUAUUCUUUAGAUGGUCUGCUGUGAACUCAGAGCGAACUAUGGGUAUGGCAUCAAAAACAACCCCCUCACCCAACGCCAUGGAGGAAGAACUAGCAAUAGCUAAAGUUUGACGGUUGGGAAGAUCAUCCAAUGUUUCUCUAGUACAGGACUCUAACAAAGACCCUGAAGACUCCGACAUUGCAGACUCAGACUUAGAGCUAAAGCUAGAAGAGCCCUCAUCACUAGAACUUCCAGGCUCUGACAUCUACAAUAAGAAGAAACAAAUUCUAUCACUACAUGCAUGAUCAAAACAUAAGGAAGUUCCUAUAUUACCCACAUGAAGAUGGUGCAAAGCGAUGCCGGAACCCUUCUCAAUCAGAAAGCAAUCCGUCUUCCACAGUCACUACAAAACAAGCAAAUGAAGACCGUGUCAAGCGCCAAAAAAAAAAAAAAAAAAAAAAAAAAAAAACAGCUUCAUCCAAAAAGCUUCACCCGAAAAAGCUUCACCUCCAAAACUUCACCCAAAAAGCUUCACCAAAAAAGCUUUCACCAAAAAAGCUUCACCUAAAAAAAGCUUCACCCAAAAAAAAAAAAAACUUCACCUCCAAAAAGCUUCACCUAAAAAAGCUUCACCCACAAAGCUUCACCUAAAAAGCUUCACCCACAAAGCUUCACCCAAAAAACUUCACCCGAAAAGCUUCACUUAAAAAAGCUUCACCUACAAAGCUUCACCUAAAAAAGCUUCACCUAGAAAGCUCCCUCUACAUACUUUCACCAUCAAAGCUUCACCUAGAAAGCUUCACCUAGAAAGCUUCAUCUACAAAGCUUCAUCUACAAAGCUUCACCAUCAAAGCUUCACCUAGAAAGCUUCAACACCAAAGCUUCACCUACAAAGCUUCAACACAAAACCUUGCUCCAAAUAAACAAAUUUUGUUCACAAAACCCAAGAUGCCCUUGAACUUGUACAAAAAAACACUUGGGUAAACAUAAACAUUUUUUUGUUUUACACCCACAAGGGCCCAAAAUCUUCCUUCUUAUUUAUUCACUUAUAUAUGUUCCCAAACAUAUUAUAAUAGAUCAACAAUAAUUCAAAGUCCCAAAAUUUAGUUAAUGGACAAAAAUACAAGCAAUUCACCAGUACUGAAGUUGCUACAAAAAUUGGAAUCUUCCCCAAAAUAGAAAUCCAACCCAAGAGACUUUUUCUCUCUCUCCCUCUUCCGCCUCCUUUCAUCUAUCAAAUUUUGCAACCUGCUGCUCUUCUCCAAUGGAGCUGAAUUUUGGACACCCUCUAGUUCUUGAGCAGAUGAACAACUUUCAAGAAGGAACCAUUUCUGUUUGAGCGACGGAAAUUAAAGUGUUGAAGCUCCAAGCAUGACAGUCGGAUUCUUGCAGAUUUCGAAGCUGCUGUGAUGUUUCGAAGAUCUGGAAAUAUUUAACCAUUAGUUCAUUCUGAAUUUUUGAUAUGUUAUGAAAGAGACGAUGAGGAACAACUUCAAUGAAGAAAGCAUGCUGAUCUGAACAAUAGAAAAUGGAGUUUCGAAGCUCACAACAAAUCUGACGGGUUGACAGAAAAAAUAAUAACCAGUCAUUCAUCAUACCUGAAUUUCUUGAGUUAUACAGCUCCGAGGGAUCUCAAAUUUGGAUAUGUUGUAGUUCACAAGCUGAAGGAACAACUUCGAAUGAAGAAAGUAUGUUGAUCUGAGCAAGAGAAAAUGGAGUUUUUGAAGCUCACAACAAGUCUGACGGUUGACAGACAAAAUGAUGAACAGUCACUCAUCAUACCUGAAUUUCUGGAGUUGUACUGCUCCGAUGGAUCUCCAAAUUUGGAUAUGUUGUAGUUCACAAGAAUUAAGGAACAACUUUCAUGAAGACAACGUUUUUGCGAUCUGAGCUACAGAAAAUGGUGUUAUAUUGAAAAAACUAAAGGCAGACUUAAAGGGAAAAAUGAAAAGCAAUUCCAAAAGAAAAGCAUAAAGGAAGUUUCAAAAUCAUGGCACAUGAUUAAUGAGUCAUACCCUAUCCCCUCAUUGGAUUCGAAAUACACCCAUCCUCCAAAUCAUGACAAAAGGCCACAUUAUAGAUAUCUGUACAAACAUUCCAAAGAAAAAAGGGAGGGAGUAAAAAUUAAAAAAAAAAAAAAAAAAAAAAAAAAAAAAAAAAAAAAAGGGCCUAGGCCUCCACUUCUUUGGGCCUAAACACAUUUGACAAUUGACUAUAGCAAGACACCUCAUUCGGCAACUCUCUUCGCCUGAAGACUUGGGGGACUCCCACCAUAUGCUACUGCACCUUGAUACUCGGCAAGUCUCACAACCACUCAGUGACUUGGAUUUUUCAAGUCUCCAACCGAGAAGUUUUCCUCACUCGGGAAAUUAAGGGAACACUACCUCAAACUACAUGCUUCACUCACAAAGCUUCAACAAUACAGGUUUCAACAAAAGCAAAAAUUCAAAGAACUUUAUGAAGAAGGCUUUGGUGUAUUUAACACAAUAUGUUGAAAUGAAGCAAAGCUUAUUUAUUAAUAUUUUCGAUAAGCCACAAAUAUGUACAUAUACAUGAGUCAAAAUAAACAAACAAAAGGGAGCCUUCACAAAGGUUGCUUAGGGGAAGUCUCAGCAGUCGGUAGAGCCCCAGAAAGAGAAAGCACCGGAGGGUGGUUAUCCGGAGCCUCAGUACUUGACAAAACCCCAGAAGGAGGAGGCAUUGGAGGUUCAUCAUUUGAAGCUUCAUUACCAGGUACAGCCCCAGAGGACGAAGGCAAUAAAUGCCUUUGGAACAAACCCACAAACCGCUGAUGAUCAAGUAAAACCUUACCAUCAGAUUCCUUCAUCUGGUCAAGCUUCCUCUUCAUGUUUGUAGCAUAGUCAUGGGCGAGCCGGUGCAACUGCUUAUUCUCAUGCUUGAGCCCUCUAAUCUCCUGUUUGAGACUCAUCACUUCAGCAGCCAAUGAUUCAACUUGGCGGGUUCUAGCAAAUAGGCGUUGGGCCAUAUUAGACACAGAACCUGCACACUGAACACUAAGAGCCAGAGAGUCCUUAACAGCCAACUCAUCAGACCGUUUGGAAAGUAGUCUGUUAUCUUUGGGAGUGAGAAGGUUCCUGGCCACCACUGCAGCGGUCAUAUCAUUCUUCAUCACAGAAUCCCCAACGGUAAGAGGACCAGUAGGGGAUAUGAAGGAUGGGCGCCAUAUGUUGUCUGGAGAAGGCGUGGCUGUCUCUUCUCCAAGGUUCAAGUCAAAACGACGGUCGGAGGGUCCAGACAUUUUCAAAUGUGUUGAAGAAGGAAGAGGUCAGACAAAUCAAGAUCUUAGAAGUGCAAGAAAUGAGCUUCUACUGGUAGAGAUUCAAGUGUGCUGUGGAACUUAAUGCCAGCCUCUAUAAAAAUCUGCACUCGACGGAGCUUCAGAAAUCGAAGAGGCGUUUGCUUUCUCAAAAGCUGGGCUGCUCAGAGACCACGAGGGCCGAUCUCAGAAAUCGAAGAAGCACCUGCUUUUUCAGCCUCGUCAGCACCUGUCACAUGCACAAUCAGCUUUGCGGAAAUUACGGGCAAUCUGUCGAAGAUUUCUGGUGAAGUAGAAAGCACGUGAAUCUUACUGUUCAAUCACCGCUCUCCAUAUGCACCAUCAACUCCUCGGGUACCACAUAUAACUUUGUCAAAGAUCUCUGACAAAGUUUAGGCACGAGAAUUUCGAAGUUCCAGCUACCCUACUAUUACCCAUAAGGGUAAAGGAACAGCACCACUGCUUGACAACUGGAAAGUCCCUAUGUGUGUCGACCUCCGUGUUUUGCGGCAAGACAGGUUGGCAAGAACGUCCAACCUUUACUCACAUUCGAGAAAAGACUCCCAACAUAAUUACUUUCUCAAAAAACCGGAGUAGCACCGCUUUCCGAAUCUCGAGAGUCAGAUCCUCGACGGGAUUGCUUGUUCGAAAACCGAAGAGGCACAACUCUCAGAACUUCGAGAGCCAGAUUUCCUUAGAUAAAGCUUGUCUGUAAUCUUCACACGUAACAUCAGCUUUCCAGAUACCACAUACCACUUUUUCAAAGUGCUCUGACAAAAUUAAAACACGUGAAGCUGGCAGCUCCCACUACAUUGCUGUGACCAAGAAGGGUAAAGGAAUAGCAUUACUACUUGUUAUUGGGAAAUCCCUAUAUACAUUGACCUCCCUCCUCAACGGACAGGCAAACCUGCAAAAAUGCUCAACCCUUUCUCGCAUUCGAAAAGGCACCCUCAACAUAACCUCUCGAAAUACUCAGCUUUAUUUCCCCCCGAUAAUACCUCAGCAAAUAAGCCACACCAAGAACAAGAGUAUCUCAUAUCAUCAGGGUCGAAAGCAAGAGUAUCCCAUAUCAUGCUUUCUCCCUGUCUUUGUCUUUGUCCUUGUCCACACCUGCAGGACAAGGAGAAAGAGAGCAGUCAGUCGGAACCUGAAAUCAAACCUCCAAUUUGGAACUGACUGCCUGGAGCCUUUGCCUGGUUGCUUACUUAGCAUUGCUCUCGAGUACUCAUCCUCAACUGCUGUCAAGGUCACGAAUUCCACCGGCAAAUACCUCAUGACAGUUGAUCAGAUAUUGGCUCUUUACACUGAAGCUGCCAAGCGUGGAUGAGUCACUAUGAAGGAAUGUUCUGAAGGACCAUUUAAAUGCAAAGGUUGCACACCACUUCUGCCAUGCAAAAGAUUGAAGCAGAAGGUUCAACGGUGAGCUGAAACAGAUCACUACAGCACGACACCUUUCCAUACCACAUUCAUUAUUCCGUCAACAGCAAAAGUAUCCCAUAUCAUCAAGGUCGAACGUACUCUAGAUUUGAUGGACUUGUUUUGACCCUCAAAUUUUUGAGUCGGCCUUAUACUCUGAAGGGCACCAGAAAACCCUCCAGCACAGUUCAAGAAUAAGCCUGUGGAAAGUUACUUCUUCAAAAGCAAAAGUAUCUCAUAUCAUCUCUUAUCCAUUUGCUUCUCCUUAUCCUGGCAGUUGAAUGAGAGACAAGGAGAAGGAGAACAAUCAACCGGAAGCCGAAGUCAAACCUCUGAUCCUGGGUUGCUUACUUGGAAGUUUGACUGCUUACCUUGUCUGUCACCUCUUUCGGCAGAUCUCCUAGCUCGGCGACUUGGGGGACUCCUACUAUAGGGUUUGUAUCACACUUGACCAAGCCCGAAACUACAAGUAAGCUUCAAGUGAAAUUGAUACAUUACCUUGUGCAUCAACAUCAGCUAAAUACACCAUUCCCGGAUGGAGGAAAGGUACUUCCAGAGAAGGGCAGAUGAAGAUCAGACCACACUUCGGUACUUAGAAGUUUCGUGAUUACUCAAGGGAUUGGAUCUUGCAAGUCCCCAACCGAGGAGUUUCCCUCACUCGGGAACUUAGGGGAGCACUGUUUGUACCAUACUUGACCAAUCCCGAAACUACCGAGCACCGGCCAACGCUAUAUACUGUCAAGGACCCAGAAGAGUUCCCCUCCGACCAGGAGGCCAAUCACUACUCGACACGUGUCAAGAUUAGAAGCCAAUCAGAGCGCAGCACGUGUCGACAUCAAGAACCAAUCAUAACAUGACACAUGUCAAUGUGACAAAGCUACAAGUUUUUCUAUAAAUAGGGGUCAUUCCCCCACAAUAUGGCCUAAUGCCAUUUGUGUUAAAUCAUUCACAAGAACUCACUAAAUUGAGAGCUUGAUCCUUUGUACUUGUGUAAGCCCUUCACUACUAAUAAGAACUCCUCUACUCCGUGGACGUAGCCAAUCUGGGUGAACCACGUACAUCCUGUGUUUGCUUCUCUGUCUCUAUUCAUUUACGUACUUAUCCUCACUAGUGACCGAAGCAACCAAGCGAAGGUCACAAAAACUGACACUUUCUGUUGUACCAAAGUCUUCGUUGAUUUUGUGCAUCAACAGGAUUAAAACGUGUUUGUAAUUUUUGAAAAGAGAGGAGUGAAAUGACUCCAACUUUAGGAAGUUUUGUGAUUUUGGUUUGUAUGAGGAAGAGGGAGAGCACGAAGUGGGAGUGGAAGAUACAAAAUAGUAAGUUUAAUACUGUUAGUGGAGGAACCCGUCUGUUGGGUGAAGUGGUAGGUCUAAAAAUGGAUAUCAUCCAGUGGAAUAACCUAUAUGUGGUGGGAGGUCCAUACCAUUUUUCAAGUUCUUUAUUAAUGUGAAUGUUUAUGUUAUUCUGAUUAGGAACUUAAGUGAAUAAAUCGUUUUCAAAUUUGUAAACAAAUAAUUGCUUACAAAAUAAUGAACUCUGUCAAAUAAAAAUAAUUGCUUGCAGUAGAGAAUAACUAUAAACAUUAUUGAAGUAUAUAUUUAAAUAUUUUUAAUUUAUAUAAAUUGAUAGGUUGCUAUUGCAUAAAUCAAAUCACUAACUUGAACCAUGCUCUUUAUUUGGGAACUGUGCGUUUUUCUUAUUUGAAUUAGUAGGGUUUGUAUUUUUGUUUUCCAAAUUAGAUGUGUGAUUUCAUUUUGAUAGAUAUUUCAGAAUUUCAGUAAGCAUGUGUGGAUUGAUCAAUUAAAGCCAACCUGAAUUAUGGAGGUCUGAUUACAUGUACACUACAAAUUACCUCACUUUUCUACCAAGAGUCUGCUGCUUUUUCCAAAAGGAAAAGAUUAGCUUGGUUUGAUCUCUUAUUUGAAUCGUGUAGAUUUGGUUUGAUCUCUUAAUUUGUGUUGUGCAAAUUUUGUUUGAAUUAAUUUGGGUUGGGCAGAGGAAGCAAAUAAUUUUUUUAAUUAAUAAAUUUAGUUUGGUUUGUACAGAUGCUGCCCAAAGCAUGAACAUGUCAAGAAACUGUAAGUUACAAACUAUUCAUUACAACUUUGCACCAACUGUUUUUGUUAUGUCUAACAGUUUUACCAAUACCAUCGCGCGGGCCCUUUUGCUAGUAAUUUAAAAAGAUGGUUUCUCUAACAUUUUUACUUUCUUUUUGCAACUGUAUAUGAACCAACACUGGAGAGUUUUUCAACGUGUUCGAAACACGGCACAAAACGUCAUAUGUUAUUAUACAAGUGUCAUAAUACAAUUGGCUUGACACUUGAAAAAACAAUUUCAACCACUUAUUUGAUACUUAAUGUACUAGAUCGUGUUUUUGACACACUAAAAAACUUCUCAUAAAAGUGGGCACAUUAAGAGUAUUAUUAUUAUAAGCAAGUGGUGGUAAUUAAUAAGUUAUUCUGGAAGGAUUAAACCCGAAUUAAUAAGAAAAUUAAGAAGAAAUAAAGUAGCCACUUACAAGCAAAGGCAAGGGGAAAGCAAAAGGUGGAAUAUUGGACUGGGAUGUAAGUGGAGGACACGCAGGCGUUCUUGUACAUAUCUGAGUGGUUUUUUUUUUUUUUUUUUUUUUUUUUUGAAACCACGAAGCCUUUAUAAGAACACAGGGCAAAAGCCAACAGAAAACAGAAAGCCCACACAAGGGCAAGCACAACAAAACAAACAAAGGGCAGUGUGAGGGAGAACAACAGAAUAAGGACGCUACCACAAAGGUAAAACGUCAUCCCAACACACACCCACAUCAAAAAACACUUACGGAGGGCAAGGAAGACCAUCUUUGUUGAGAAUGUGAACCAGCAAAGAUGGGGGUCGCCUGACCCAAAUGUUGCCGCACAUCUCCACAAUAGACCUCGACGCCAGACGGUCCGCCGACUGAUUGGCCAGUCUUGGAACCCAAGACCAGCGACAACCCUGAAAAGAAUUCCCCAACCACAAAGUAGAUUCUAGGAUUGGGAACACUUCUCAGCUGCCAUUUGAAAUAUUACCCUUCAAAGACGAGACCACCUCAAGCGAAUCUGAUUCCGCAACAAUCCACCGGAAGCCCAUCGUCGCCGCCAACUCACAGCCCUUGAGCAUCGCCAUAGCUUCAGCGAACAUCACCGACGGAGCACUAAUAGACAACUUGUGAGCCACAACAAAUUGCCCAUUAUGAUCCCUCAGCACCGCAGCCAACGUAGCCUUACCAUCCAUCUGAAACCAGCUUGCAUCAACAUUAACUUUUAUGAAGAGAGCAGAUGGGGGGGACCAACGAGGAUCCAGAACGGGGGAUGGUCGGGAGCGGGACAAAGGGACCUGCACCUCCAAAAAAGAACCCAGGGAUAAAGAAAUAGUAUGCAGCACCUGUGAGGGAGCUAAGGUAGAAGCCUUAAAGACAAAAUUACAUCUAGCUUUCCAAAUGUACCAGCAAGAGAAAGCUAUGACAGAAAGAAGCCUCGAUCUGUCCUGAAGAUUAGGAGUCUGGAUGAUCAAAUCACUGAGCCAUUGAUGAAAAGAAGACACACCUUCACCAACCCUCCGAAGACCAAGCAGACCACCAAACCAAAUUGGCUCAACCCAAGGGCACCGCAGCAGCAGAUGAAGCACAUAUUCCUCCUGAGUCUUACAAAUAGGACACAUGAAUAGGACACAUGGGAGAUGAAGCAGACCUGCGCCUAAAUAAACCCCCUAUAGUAGCCAAAGCCUCACUCACAGCUCGCCAUAAAAAGUGACGAAUUUUAGGCGGGGCAUUAAUUUUCCAAAUAGCUUGCCAAAUCGAGGUCCUCGAAGUACUUGGACCGAAUGAAGCAUGAGCCCCCGUCAACCCCCGCAAGGAAUGAAUCCAAUGAUAACCUGACCGAACCGAAUAUUUACCUGUCCUACUCAACGUACAGAUCAAACGGUCCCGGCGAGAACAAAUUCCCAAAGGAGUAUCACAUAUAGCUUUGAUAUCUUCCUCAUAAAUGAAUGGACGUAAAAAUUACAUAUCUGAGUGGUUUGGCAUUGAUCCAUCCACCUUUUCCUUGCCCUGCCCGUCAUGUGCCAAAACUAUAUCGCUCUUACCCUACUUUCUCUGCCUUCAAUAUUUCUACAUGAAGAUCGAUCUGGUUCUACCGUUCUACUUUCAGUGUUAAAUAAAUAUGAUCAAUCACUUAUAGUUAUUAUAAAAAUACUUUCAAAUAAUUUUUAAAAUAUCAAUAACUUCUCGUAAAUAUCAACUGUCAAUUUUUUGCUAAUAUACUUUUCAUCUUAAGACGCCCAGCGUUGUGGUUUUGAAAAACGUAGCUCCUGCUUUUCCACUUUGUUUUUAUUUUCCACUGUCCUACUUUGUGCCGGUACACUUUUGUCUGCCAAGGGCCUGGACUUAGGCCCCGUUUGGGAUUGAGGUGAUUUUAAAAAAAGCCACUGUGAAAAAAAGCUGAGGGUCAUUUUUGUGUUUGGUAAACUGAAAAAAAAGGGCUUAUUUUGGAAGCUGCUGUGAGAAUAAGCUGAAAAUCAAAGGAAAAGCUGAAGCUGCUAUUUGCUGCUUUGAAAAAAAGCCAGUUUUUUCAAAGCACACGGAGCUACAGUGCUCCUUUAAUGAAAAGACACACUAUCAUCCUGCUUUUUUUUCCAAAAGCACUUUCACAAAAAAGUUUACCAAACACUCUACUGGCUUUAUUUCACAGCCGCUUAUUCUCACAGCACAGCCGCUUAUUCUCACAACAGCUUUUUUCAAAGCACAGCAAUACCAAACUAGCCCUUAAGAUGCUUUACUUUGAAUAAGAAUUAGUUCAACACAGAUAAUAUGAUUUGUCUUUUUAUUAUAAGGAAAUGCUAAGAAGACUCGUUAGAAAAUGAGAUUCUGUAUGGAUUUUUCAUCAAUUCAUGUUUUUGGCACAAUAACUCAUGUUUUUUGCACAAUAUUUGAUAAUGUUGACAUGAAAACUUUGCCAAAAACAUGAGGUGAUGGAUAAUUUCUAGAAAGUCUAAUUGUGAAGAGUCUUCUUAGUAUUUCUCUUUACUUUAUUAUAUAAUAUUUAGAUUAUUGAAUUUGGUUGAACUUUAACAUAAUUGAUAUUUAAAGAGUAAUAUCGAAAACAAAGAUUUAAAUUAUGACAUUGCAAAAUAAAAAACAAAAUAAAACAUAGAGCGAAAAUUUUUAAAGGAGAAUGUGACUAACAUUGGUUGGGAAUUAAUUUAAGAGAAAAUAUAAGGAGGUAGAUCUUAAUUGUUUCUACCCUCUUAUUCUUGAAAAGCAAACACGAGCCUCCCUUUAACGUGAAUAAAGCAUAUUUCAGAGUUUUCAAGAAUCUUUUGUAUAGUCUUUGUCGUUUUGUGUUCCUUUCCACCUUUCCUCUCUUUUUCCCUGCACCUUCUCGCCCAGCUGUAUGUUGUUUCUCGAAUCAAUACCAAAACAUUAUUAUAUUAUAAACUUUUGUUCUUGUAAAUUGAAGGAUCUUGACUUGGGUUUAGGUGUUUGGGAUUUGGAUCCUCUCCUGAGCCCAAGAAGAGGAUCCUCAUGACUAAAUAGUGUGGGUCGUUAGAUUUUUAUUCAACGAUUACAAAUAAAAGAUUCAUUUAAAGUUAUAUUCAUCCAACGGUCAACAUUGUUUGGUUAGAGGAUGUUCUUUAUGGGCUCAGGAGAGGAUCCAAAUCCUAGGGGUUUGAGUAUCAUCGGUUUGGCAAAACAAACACAACCACUGUCAUAUUUUUCAGUCGUAAUCUGAACCACUGCAGUGCUAUACAGUGGAUAUAGCCAUGGCAGCCCACGGUGCCUCCUCUUCAUCAUCCUCCUCAAAACUCUGGAAGUACGACGUGUUCUUGAGCUUUAGAGGCGAAGACACACGCAAGGGCUUCACGGGCCAUCUCCACACAGCAUUGGAAGAAAAGGGCUACAAGGCCUUUAUUGAUGAGGACGAUCUGGAAAGAGGGGAAGAAAUAAAGCCCGAACUAUUGCGAGCCAUCGAAAAGUCAAGGAUCUCUAUCAUUGUCUUCUCAAAGAGGUACGCAGAUUCGAGUUGGUGUCUCGACGAGCUAGUGAAGAUCAUGGAGUGCAAAUCCGAACUGGAGCAACAUGUUUUGCCAAUAUUCUAUGAUGUUGAAGCUUCAGACAUCAGGAAGCAGGAAGGUAGUUUAGCCCCAAUGUUUCAGAAGCACGAAGAGAACAUCCGUAAAGAAGAAGAUGACAAAAAACGGGAAACCAAGAGAGAAAGGGUAAAGCAAUGGAGAAAGACUCUUACUGAAGCUGCAAACUUGUCUGGUUACGAUCUUAAAAACACUGAGAACGGGUAACUAUUUAUUUUAUUCAGCUUUAAUUAUUUAAAUGAAAAAUUUAUCUUUCCCCCUUAGAACUCCUUUUUCUUUGCCUUUAACCCAUCAUAUAUAUUUUUCCAGACUGCACGUCGUAUUUGUGUCUCUUCCCCUCCACUUAACUCUAGAAUUAACACUGUUAAUUAUUAUAUAGGAAUUUAAUUAAAUAAACACGAACACCCGACAACCCAUCCUCUAUCACAUUAUUACCUUCCCCUUCACUUUCACUUUCACACGUUCAUUUUCCUUUCUCUCCUCUUCAUCAUUUCUAUCUCUCUCCUCACACUCACUCCCUUCACCGUCGUCGUCAAAGCACAUGAUUUCCGGCUUCAAAUUGCGGCGAAGGGUCGAGAUGAGCGGCUGCGAUUGAAGGUCGAUUUGCUGCCAUAUCUGCUCGGCAUCGAAUCCGUCGACCAAGACCUGAUGUAACGGCGAUUUGGGAGUGAUUAGCGCUCGGGACUACUUGUGCUGUGUAUUAAUAUUUUUUUUGGUUGAAAAGGAGAUGAAAAACGGAAGGGGGUUAGGGUUUGGGGUCUCUCAGUGAGAAAAUCACAGAGAGAGAUGGUUGAGAGAGGGUUUAUUAAUUUGGGCAUGAUUAGGAACAAGGUAUUAAAUCGAAGUCAAAUAAUUUAACGCUGUAGUUUUUUUAAUUAGUUAUGUGUAUAUAUGUUUUAAAUACGUAUUAAUCUAUUAAUAAAAUCUUAUUUGUGAACCAAAACUUCUUAAAAUUAUUAUGCUAAUCCUCUCAUUAAAAUUGUACAAAACAGAAUAUAUGAGCAAUUUAGUAAUUACAUACAAUAUAAAUUUUGUUAUUUUUUUACACAAACUUCACAGCCUGAUAUACAUAACACACCUACUUAAAAGUUAAAAAUUAGAUGCAAGUGGCCCUUUACAACAAUGGUGGAAAGAAGUUGAGUUCUUGCAUGACGUCGUAAAUUUGAAUUUUAUCGAUGGCUAAUCUAACAAAAUUUAUCAUAUGACAAAAAAAAAAAAAAAGUUAAAAAUUAGAUUAAAAAAUUAAGUAGGUUUUCUUUAAGCUCUCGUCUCCCACUUCAGCCUCUUCCCCUUCUUCCAAGUUGCAUCCCAAUUUUAUUCUUUUUUUUAUAUAAUUUUUUUUAUUGCUAAUCCAUUGUGAGGUUAAGUUUACUCCCUCUCUUUUAUUAUAGAUAAUAUCGUUUGUUAAAAAAAGUGACAAAUAUUUUUAUAAAAAAUAAUACACGAAUUUAAUUACAAAGUUUUAUUUUAAAAAAAAAAGUGACAAAAAUAUUUUUAUAACAAUUAAUAGUCAAGUUUAAUUACACAUGUAUAACGUGUGAGCAUAUGACUAGUAGUUUUUAUUUAUUUAUUUUGAACAAACGAUAUUAUCUACACUAAAUGAGAGAGGUAGGCUUAGUCUCACAAUGAACUAGUAAUAAUGUGGUUCAAAUUCGCCUUUGACGAGAAUCAAACUUAAGACAUGUCACUUAUAAAUGAAGAAGAAUACAACUAAACUGUAAUACUAAAUGACGACUAUUAGUUAACAAUGUUAACUUUAAAAUUAAGUGAAAUGACACAUGUAAAAAUAAUAACAAAGAGUCAUGCAACUACGGACAGCAAACCCUUGGUCGUUGACUGUGCUUUAAUUAGAAAAAUUCAUUAAAUUUGCUUUAUGACUUAGAUUACAUAAUUUUGUAGUCCUGAAGCCCCUUAUUAUGUGAUGAUACAUUUAGUUAUGUUUGUUUGUAAAUUUGGCUAAUUAAUGAUUAUUUUAAACUAGUUAUGUGCAUGAGCAUUGGUAGGCGAAAUUUUCAAACUAGAUUUUCAAAGUUGUAUGAUAAUAAUUUACCUAUUGAUGCUAAGUAAAUCGUUGUACAUGAUAAUACUCUGUGGGCCCGUUCUGUGGGUCGGAUGGGGGAUAGGCUGUCAACCAUUAAAAUUGACUCAAUUCCACUGUCGGCUGUUUGAUGUGAAUAAUGAGCAUUAGAGCAAGUCCACCGAAGUGCACUUUGCCCAGGACCCAGCACAAAAACAAGGCCAGGACCCUGUCAAAUGACUCCACCCCCUCAAGUUGACUGGUACCCAGCCCGAGCUGGGCAAUGGACCAGCCCAAAUGAAACUGAGCAAGAAGCCGGGAUGUUGGCCUGGCGCGUGCGCUUCACGGCGACGUGGGGCGAGUGCCCGACAAGGUUUCAGAGGGCUGUCAGCCCACUUGUGCUCCGGAGUGACGCGGCAUGAUCAUAGCCGUUGGAUUUCCAACGGUAAAAAAAAUUUAAAUUUGACUUUUAAAAUGGACCGUUCGAUCAUAGAUCAACGGUCCACGUUAAUUAACUAAAUUAAAAUUUAUUAAAAAAUACAGAAAAAUUAUUAAAAAAUACAGAAAAUUAAAAUUUUUUUUUCUAUAAAUACCUAACCCUCAUCUUCCACCUUACACCACAUUUCAAUAUUUUCUACACUUUCUACCAAAGCUUUCAUAUACUUUUUGUGUGAAAAAAAAUACCAAAAAGCUUGUGGUUGAAGAAUAAAGAGUAUUUGAUGAGUUUAUGUAAUUUCAUUUUAGUGUGUUUUUUUUAUAGUUUAUUUGAUGAGUUUAUGUAAUUUUAUUUUAGUGUGUUUUUUUUUAAGUUUAUUUGAUGAGUAUGUAAUUUUAUUUUAGUGUGUUUUUUUUUUAAGUUUAUUUGAAAUUUUAUCCAAAAUUGGUUAAAAAUCUUAUCCGAAAUAAACUUAAAAAAAAAAAACACACCAAAUAAAUGCGCUAGGUGUCCCGCUAGGUGUCAGCGCAUGGGGUGAAGAUGACUUCGCUUAUUACUGUUCAUUAAAGUCUGUUACUGUUCAUUUGAGUGGAUAAAUGCACCUGGCGUAAAGUCGUUAGGUGGAAUUGCUCUUAGGGAUGAUGGGUUAUGAGUCCAACAUCGUCUUCCUCUCUUCUCUGCGUCGACAUCAACAUAUUUUUUUUCUUUUUUUCCGUCGUCGUCGUCAUCGUCAUCAGAAGGCUCUCUCUCUCCACAUAUCUGGUCGUACAAGGUGGGGUUGGUCGUCGCGAGCUGAGCCGUGGAAUCAUCGGGAGCAGCUGCGUGGGGUCGUCAUAAGCACAAACCCAACAUUCCAGAAACGACCUCUCUCUGACGACUCUUCUACCACCGUCGAUUGCGAUGACAAUUACUGCGAUUCCCACCUUGAUUAAUUCCCUUCUGCUUCUUCGAUUGUCUUCUCCUUCGCCUCCUCCCCUGUCCAGUAAUUUUCUGCUAUCCUUUUUGCAUUUUCUUUGAUCUCAUUUGCUUUGUUUCCGUUUCUGGAAUGUUGGGUUUAGUGCUUGGGAUCGACCUUUCUGUGUUUUCUUUGCACUUCUACUUUUCAAUCCAAUCCUAAUUUAGUUGGGAUAGUCCACACCAAACAGUAGAUGGAUAGCCCAACCCAUCCCAUCCCAUCCAAUCCUAACCUAACCACUCCAACAAACGUGCCCUAUAGGUAUUAACUUGCCUAUACUAUCUAGGUGAAUAUGCAAUAUAUAUGUAAAUUACUCAAAAAACAAAUUGUACAAUUACAAUAAGCCCACAAUGCCUCUAAUUUAAAAAGGUAAAUUAGUGACCAUGCAAUCUAAGUGAAUAUAUGUGUAUGUACACACACACAACAUACAGUCUUGCAGAUUACGAGAAACUCAAAAUGCAUAGAUUAUAGUUAUUGAACACGCAAUACAAUAUUUAAAACACACAAAGAAAAUAAUUCCCUUUUAUUGUCUAGAUUGUGUAGGUUAUCUAAUGGCGUAAGAACGAAUUUGAUAAUAGGUGUUACCGGUAUAAGUUGUAAUAAUUUGUAAUAAUAAGAUCACUUAUUUGUUUAUGUGACAACUUAUGUAAUAAUAGGUCACUUGUUGAUAUAUUUCUUCUAACCAGUUAAUUCUUGCAAAUAGUAAGUCACUGCAAGUCUGUACCGCCAUUUAUAUUUUCUUACAAAUUGUGUUUUCAGGCAUGAAGCAAAGCUUAUUAAGAAAAUUAUUUAUGAUAAUCUUUGGAAAUGGCUCCCCAAAACAAAAAAAUUACAUGUGGCCAAGUUCCCAGUUGGAAUCAAUUCUCGUGUUCAAGAAAUUAUCACUUAUCUUUCAAGUGGUGAAGGAAAUAAGGUUCUCAUGGUUGGAAUUUGGGGGAUGGGUGGAUUGGGUAAAACAACAGCUGCCAAAGCCAUUUAUAACCAAAUUCAUCCUAAGUUUGAAUUCAAGAGUUUCCUUGAUGAUGUUAGCGACACUACAAGUAGACAUGGUCUGGUUUAUCUACAAAAAAAACUUAUUUCGGACAUCUUGAAUCCAAAGUCUGAAAUAAGCAGUGAUGUUGAAGGCAUUGGUCGGAUAAAAGAUAUAUUUUCACAUAGAAAGGUAUUUGUCGUUAUGGACAACAUAGAUAAAAAGGAACAACUGGAUGCAAUAGUUGGAAAUCAUGAUUGGUUUGGUCCGGGAAGUAGAAUUAUCAUAACGACACGAGAUAAACAUCUACUACUAAAUAUGGACAAAGUAUAUUCGGCUCAGAAAUUGAAGGAUGGAGAAUCUCUAGAGCUCUUUAGUUGGCAUGCCUUUGGAAAUAGUUGGCCUGAUAAAGAUAUCUUGAACUCUCAAAAAAGUUUGUUUCUUACUGUGAUGGUUUGCCACUAGCCCUUGAAGUUUUAGGUUCUUUUUUGUUUAAAAGAACCAUAGGAGAGUGGGAAUGUCAAUUGAAGAAAUUGAAAACAACUCCUGAAGGAGAAAUAAUAAAACCACUAAGAAUAAGCUUUGAAGGGCUAGAUGACACACAAAAGGCUAUAUUCCUUGACAUAUCUUGUUUCUUUAUUGGAAUGGACAAGGACUUUGUCACAAAAGUAUUAGAUGAAUGUAAAUUUUUUGCAACGAUAGGAAUCAAUGUCCUCAGUGAACGAAGUCUUGUAACUGUUGAACGCAACAAGUUGAAUAUGCAUGAUUUGCUUCGAGAAAUGGCCAGAGUAAUCAUUUCUGGAAAAUCUCCUUGUCAUCCUGAAAAAUGGAGUAGGUUGUGGAAUCCUCAAGAUGUCAGCAAUGUAUUAACAAAUAAAUUAGUAAGUACAUUCCCAAUUCAAUUUUGGAUUAAUGCAUCGUACAAGAAAAGCAUAUAUGUAACCCUCGCAUGUCAAUUAUACAUUAAACAACAUUCAUGUGUAAAAUAUAUUCACUGUGGGUGAUUUUGGGUAAUGCAUAAUAAUACAUGUAAACAUAUGCAAAUAUAUUGUUUCUUACCACUAUAACCUUUUUUGUUAACAGGGAACUAGAAAAAUUGAAGGACUUGCUCUAGAGUUCCCUCAUCCUUUGUUAUCAAGCAUUGUAGACACUGAGAUUGCUGCUAGUUUCAGUACAGAAGCAUUUGCCAAUAUGAAGAAUCUGAGAUUGCUUCACCUCGACAGAGUAGAGCUCAAAGGAGAAUACAAACAUCUUCCCAAAGAGUUAAUAUGGUUGUGUUGGGAAGAAUGCCCUUUAAAGUCCAUACCAGAUGAUUUUUUUAAUCAACCAAGACUAGUUGUGUUAGAUAUGCGGAGGAGCAAUCUGGUACAAGUUUGGGAGGGUUCCAAGGUACAAUGAAUUACAGCUGAUGAUGUUGUGUUGCUAUUUGUUUUUUGGAUAUCUUCUCUUUUUUUAUAACAUUUUCAUUUUGGAUAUCAAUUUCAAUUUUCUUUUGAUUUUCUGCAACAGUCGCUACAUAACUUGAAAACCCUUGAUCUCAGCGAUUCCUAUUCCUUACAGAAAUCACCAGACUUUUCACAAGUCCCAAAUCUGGAAGAGUUGAUAUUGAAAUACUGUAUUAGUCUGUCCGAGAUUCACCCCUCCAUUGGUCAUCUUAAAAGACUUUCUUUGGUGAACCUUACGUGGUGUUUCAAACUUAUUUCUCUUCCAGAGGAUUUCUAUAAGUUGAAAUCUGUUGAGACUCUUCUUCUUAAUUGGUGUUCAAAAUUCAGAGAAGUGCAUGAGGAUAUAGGGGAGAUGAUAUCAUUGAGAAUACUUGAAGCAGAGGAAACAGCCAUAAGAAAAGUACCACCUUCCAUAGUAAGAUUGAAGAAUCUCACUCGUUUAUCCCUAUCAGGUGUGGAAAGUAUUCAUUUGCCCUUUUCGUUACACGGCUUAAACUCUUUAAGGGAAUUAAAUCUCGAAUGGUGCAAUUUAGCUGAUGAUGCAAUCCCUAAGGAUCUUGGGAGUCUAAUUUCUUUACAAGAUUUGGAUCUUUCAUUAAAUACAUUUCAUACCCUACCCAGCCUCAGUGGUCUUUCAAAGCUUGUAACAUUGAGGUUAAUUGGAUGCAUAUCUCUUCGUACAAUCCCUGAUUUACCAACAACUUUGAAAUUUCUGUAUGCAUUUCAAUGCCUUGCAUUGGAAACAAUGCCCAAUUUUUCGAAAAUGUUGAAUAUGAAAGAACUGGUUGUGAGUGAUUCACCCAAGCUCACUGAGGUUCCAGGCUUGGAUAAGUCAUUAAGCUCCAUUACAUGGAUUAGUAUGCUUAAGUGCACCAGUCUUUCAGCUCAUUUAAGGAAGAACAUCCUACAGGUAUCUCUCCCUCUCUCUCUCUCUCAUUGCCUUCCUAUCUUGCGUAUACAUGUAUAUAUACGACACAUGUAUUGUAUAUGUAGGGAUGGACUUCUUGCGGAUUUGGUGGAAUUUUCCUUCAUGGAAACUAUGUUCCUGAUUGGUUUGAGUUUGUCAACGAGGGCACUAAAGUCACUUUUGAUAUUCCCCCGAGUGAUGGUCGUAAUUUUGAAGGGUUAACUCUGUUCUGCUUGUACCACUCGUACAGAAGCAGUCAUCUUGCCAUUAUUGUUAUAAAUAAUACCCAGCGUACUGAGUUGCGAGCUUACAUAGGCAGAGUAGAAUCUGAUUACCACCCAAAUGGAGAUGAUUAUCUUUUGCAGGGACAACUCUCGAACAAUAAGCUCAAAUUGCGAGGUGGGGAUAAAGUUGUUAUAUUUUUUGAAAACCCAUCCAUUACAAUAAAGAGAACAGGGGUUAACCUAGUAUGGGACAAACCUAUGGAGGAAAAUAUGCAUGAUUUGGACAAAGCUGGUUAUGUUUUUGACACACAUCCAACUCGGUUUUAUGAUGAGGAAGGACCAAGCCAUGACGCAUCCGAUAAUAAUCGUCCCAAGAAACAAAUGAGAAUUACUAUAGAUGACUGAAAAGGGAAAAGGCAGGAAGAAGUGAAGCAUCAUCCAUCUUGAUUAAGUCUCCCAGAUCGGUUCUAUGGUGAAGCACGAUCAAGGAGGUGAUGCAUUGUCAUCAUCACAUAUCUGAGUCAGGUCAUAACCAGUUCAUCAAACGCCUCUUUUAUUUUUGCUUUACUGGUUCGUUAAUGAAGACAAGUCCUUAUUUCGUACUUCUUUAGAUUCCUAUGAUUUUUCCAAUAAGUAGUUGUUUUGAAUUUUGAAGAAAUAUUGCAUCUAUAAAACAUUUCAACUUUACAACAAUCAAUAUAAGACAUUCAUCAAAAUAUUUGACAAAUACUACUUGAAUUCGCACAAAACUGCAGACGGAAGUUGUUUGUAACAUUGUAGAGCUGUUCCUGUUAAGAUCAAACCCCAGCCCAUGUUGUGCCCUUCUGUAAACACCAUCAAAUUAAGAUGUCAGAGUGUUAUAAAAAAAAAAAAAACAUGAAAUCAUCAAAUAUAGCUUUGAUAUAAAAAAAAAAAAAAGAGAGAGAUUUUUGUUGGGGUAACAAACUCUAUCCGACUUACAAAGAGAAUAUCUGUAAUUACAACAUAACGAGAAAAAACUCUUGUUCAGCAAAUCAGUGAAAAUGUAUGUAGCUAAACCACCAAAAUUCAAAGAUUGGAAGCUACGGUUUCACCAUCAUCAUAAUCAUCUCAAGAACAAAAAUUACCUAACAGAGUAAAGCGUGAUGAGAAUAAAAGAAAUGAUAAAGUCAAGUAAUCCUCCUCUUUCCCCCAAACUGUCUGCCUCUUGAAUGCAUGUCAUCCCGGUUUUGAUGACUCAUUUUUUUAAGAACCUUUUGUGCGGCUGCUUGGUUUUGAACAGGGACAGCUUCAAUUUUUGUGGAAGGCAUAAUACAUCAGCAUUAAAUUACAAAGCAAAAAAUGUAGAACAUUUGUAAUAAUUAAGUUAACUAAAUGUGUUUCUUGUGUGAUUCAAGUAUAAUUCCAUUUUACAUGAUCGUCGACGUUGAUAUAGACAAAACUUAGCAGAAAUUUGGUUUUCCCUCCAUUCAAUUGAUUCAAGUUUUAUUCUGCCACCUUACACCUGCCCCAUCUACAACUAUAUACGCACCACUAGAAAUAAUUGGUGAACAAAUCCAAGUGUAAAAACACCGGUCUAUUCUCGACCCCUUCCCCACAACUAGAUGACAAAAAAUUAAGCUUAAUACUACACAAAACCUGGAUGCAGCAUAGGAUAAUAGUAAAAUUUAAUAACAAGCUACAAAUUGGACACGGAUGAAAAUCUACCUUCUUUGGUCUUGAGUUCUUUCAUCAAGGGAAUCUGCCUUACGAGUGUUAUCAGUCUCACUUCUUUUAUAAGAUUUAUUGUCGUCAUUUGCUUUCAAUCGAAGGUUCCACUGUCUUGCAACUGGUCUAACCUCAGUAAUUCUGGCAAUAGGCUCACUACUCUUGGAGCUAACAUCAGAGUAAUCUGCCAAUGAUUGCAUCUUGCCCAUGAGAUAUGCAUGCAAUAGCAAUAAUGAGUGGUUUAACAUUAUGUUAAAAGACAAACUAAUAUUAUGAAAUCAAUAGCUCAAGAAUACUGACGUGAAAACUUGUCCAGCUCAGGAAACUGACUUUUAGCUGCCCCAACUUCAACUUCUCAAAUGGAGGGGGCCGUUACCUUCACUUUCCUGUGAAAUCCUUAAAGAUGAACGUGAAAACUCGGAAUAUUUUGUAUUCAUCUGCCAUUCUUCGUAAAGUGAUUGAACAACACCUCCCAACAGAGUCACAAUUUUAGGACUCAAACACACUAUUCCAUUGCGUACAGUAACUUCACCUUCCAAACAGACCUACCGAUCAAAAAGUAGGACAAACGAAAGAUGUUCAGUUAACUCAAAAUGCGACCCUUAUCUAUGCACCUGUUUUCCCUGAAUCACUUAAGAAAGUGGGACUAGAGAGACCCAUAAAACUUCUUGUGAAAUUCAUUGUCAAAAUUAAAAAAUUUGUCCGGGUCUUCCAGUGCAGUGUUGAGCUAAUGUCACAUAUGGGAUAAAAAAUAAACGAAAUUAUUAAUUUUCCUACUGGAUGUGGAUUCGCUUCAAGAUUGCAUACACGAAGACGGAGCACACAGUGUUCGUCACUAAGUUCUACGAAAGUGUGAGCAAUCAAACAAAUCUCUAGCUUAUUAAAUAUAAAACACAAGCUGAGCAUUGAGCAGGCAUCAAGAAGCAGAAAUACCUUAGUUCCAGGAACAACGUCGUCAGGGAUUACCGAGGGAUGAGAGUACUCCACAGCUGUGGCCGUCGUCAGGGAUCGUAAGGCAUCAAAAGCCACCGACGACUCAAAUUCCUCGAAAAAUCCUCCAUUCUGCUUUUGGCAACGUCCCUUACCCAAGCCAUUUGAUAACAAAACACAAAGGAAAGACCAAAAUUUUCUUUCUCUUUAUCUAUUUUCUCAGCAACCAAACAGAGGAUAAGAAAAAUUAGCGAGAAAUACAGAGAGGUGUGAUUUACCUGGAGAACUUUGGGGCCGAGGAGGUGAGAGGACCUUAGGAGCGUAUGCGGGUCGGGCAUGGACCUGGCGGAGAUGGAUUUAAGGUUCAUGUUGAUGAGUUUGGCUUCCACUGAGUUCACUACCGUACGCGUGUUGUCGGACAAGGCGGGUUGGAUCAGGAUCUUCUCCUCCACUUGUUCGAGGUCGCCGAAGCACCAUCCUCUGGUUCUUAGGCUUUCGACUGCGCCGCCGGAACUCCCCUCCCUAUUUUUGGUGCCAGUUUCCCGCGUAGUUUGAUUUUGGGGGGGUGAAAACGUCAAAUGCAUGGUACAGUCCCAGACUCCCAAAUAGGCCAUGAAACGGCGUCGUAGGUGGGUCUUCUGUUCUUUCUUUUUUCCUUUUUUUUUUUGGUCAAACGAAUGUCUUAGGGGUAUUGGUUCCUCUUUUGUGAGAAUGAGGGCCAAUCGACCAAAAUUAAUGUCUAUUAGUAGUUUUCUUCAUUUAUAAAUGAGAAGUUUUACUAUUUAGUACUACGGUUUAGUGAUAUUCAUCUUCACUGAUAAGUGAAAAGUUUUAGGUUUGAUGCUCACCAAAAGCGAAUUUAAACCACAUUAUAGCUAGUUCAUUGUGAGGCUAAGUCCACCGCACCCCCUCCCCUUGGUAUAGUACUUAACGAAAACUGACCGCACAAUCACAAGAUCCUGAAAUCCCCAGAAAAAGAAUACAAAGAGGAUCAUUUUCCAUUGCAUUCUGUGCCUAAAUCAAAUCACUAACUUGAACCAUGCGGAACUGUGCGUUUUUCUUAUUUGGAUUAGUAGGGUUUGUAUUUUUGUUUUUCAAAUUUGAUUUUGUGUGAUUUCAUUUUUAUAGAUAUUUCAGAAUUUCAGAGUCCGCUGCUUUACAGAGGUCUGAUUACAGGUACACUACAAAUUACCUCACUUUUCCACCAAGAGUGCUGCUUUUUCCAAAAGGAAAAGAUUAGCUUGGUUUGAUCUCUUAUUUGGAUUGUGUAGAUUUGGUUUGAUCUCUUAAUUAGUGUUGUGCAAAUUUUAUGUUCCCUCGAAGCUGGUAAUGAUUGAUAACCAUGGCAGAAAGAGACGGGGUAGGAUUGAACAAACUGCAGUUCACAAUCAAGAUUCCAAAGUCCUUAUGUUUAACAGCUGUCUUAGCGAAAAGCUCAUCAAUGGCACCAAGCAUCACAGCCUCAGCUUCUUUUCUAGCUUCUUUCAUUGACGGAUUUGGAGGAAUGUUGAGAACUGCCUCGGGAAGGUAAGUCGAGUCACCAAGGCCGGAUCUCUUAAGGAUCCUACGCUGGAACUGAAGAUUGUCCUCUGUAAAUGUACCAGUCAUCUGAGACUGUUCCAUGAAAAUCUUUUUCGUGCAUUUUCGAGAUUCUUCUGGCUUGUAGAACGAAAAGUUAACAAGGUACACCGGGCGAGGGCGGGUGACAAAGUACACGGUGGAUAGGAAAACAAGGAGAGUCGAGCAGAUAAUCACCGAAAUCAGGUUGUACUGGAGGUGCUCCCAAAGAUCAUAAAGAUCCUUGAGAGAAAAUGUUGAAAUCUGGGCAGCGAUAACGACAACAAGAGGGGAAAGAAAGAGGUACAUGCCAUGGGUGAUGAGAAUAUGGUACCCAAGCUUCACAUAUUUC
rnacentral:lncRNA from 1 species